CUCUCCUAUGGAAGAGGAAUCAGUUAGCAGCAAUGCGCUGAGAAGAAACAUUGCAUUAAAUUUGGCAUGGCAUACGUAUUUCUGGGCUGGCGUUGGUAUUUGAAUCUUGGAGUAUCACUUUGUAAUUUUUCCGUCAUAAAAAAAAAAAAGUAUCACUAUCUCCUUGCAUGUAAUGAAGAUGAUAUCCCUCUUGAGUGCAAUAAAUUUAUGUUUUCUCAUUCAAAUUUGCUACUGCCAACUCCAAUUAGUUCAAAGUUACUUCAAUUCCCAUUACAUCAAUAUUACUAUGGCUUGGAUUUGUUAAAUUUUCAGGAAUUGCUAACAUAUUUUUUAUUAUAAGCCUAGGGAUUCUGCAUCCCAUUGCAAUCAUAUUUUUGUUCAAGGUAAAGUCCAAAUAUGUCGAGUUAUAUCUCUAUUUAGAUAUUCUUAGAAUUCUCAUGAUUCCUUUACGGUUUCCUUUUCAUGUAAGCCUUUGAACCCUUCACGAAAUCACCGACUUGAAGACGGUUUGGGAAGUGAGAGUAUGGUGACAUAGUGUUGGGAAAGUAAUCCCAUAUAGGAAACUGAUAUAAAACCGUAAUCCGUAAGGAAACUGGAAAACAAGAAUCGUGGUUGGUUGGUUGGUUGGUUUAAGGAUUAGAGAAAGGAAACAAGACAACCUUUUCCAACAGGAAAAGGGAUAACUUCCCACUGCCUAUAUAUAUGAGAUAAAAGGAAACGGCCGUCUUCUGUUCAAUUCUAUUCCAUUGUAUUCUGUUUUAUUCAAUACAUCAGUAAUUUUGCAAAAGAUAAUAUAGCCAUGAGUAAGCAAAUUGAUGAAUCCUCCUGCCGGAGGGGGACGAAGAGGGACUUCAGCACUGCAAUUUUGGAGAAGAAGAAGUCCGCGAAUAGGCUUCUUGUGGACGAGGCAAUCAACGAUGACAAUUCGGUUGUGGCUUUAAACCACGAAACUAUGGAAAAGCUUCAUCUUUUCCAUGGAGAUACCAUCUUGAUCAAGGGAAAGAAGAGAAGGGAUACAGUCUGUAUAGUCCUCGCUGAUGAGAAUUGCGAGGAACCAAAGAUUCGAAUGAACAAAGUUGUCAGGUCGAACCUCCGGGUUAGGCUUGGGGAUGUUGUUUCGGUGCAUCAAUGUCCUGAUGUCAAGUAUGGUAAACGUGUGCACAUACUUCCCAUGGAUGACACUGUUGAAGGGAUUACCGGAAACCUUUUUGAUGUUUAUGUAAAACCGUACUUCUUGGAGACGUAUCGUCCGGUCAGGAAGGGUGAUCUUUUCCUUGCAAGAGGAUUGAUGAGAAGCGUUGAAUUCAAGGUCAUCGAAACUGACCCUCCUGAGUAUUGCAUUGUGGCGCCUGAUACUGAGAUCUUUUGCGAGGGUGAGCCGGUGAAGAGGGAGGAUGAAGAUCGCCUGGAUGACGUUGGUUAUGAUGAUGUUGGAGGAGUCCGUAGACAGAUGGCUCAAAUUCGUGAACUUGUGGAGUUGCCUCUGAGGCACCCACAGCUGUUUAAAUCAAUUGGUGUCAAGCCUCCAAAAGGCAUUCUGCUUUAUGGUCCUCCAGGAUCAGGAAAGACCUUGAUAGCCAGAGCUGUAGCUAAUGAAACUGGUGCUUUCUUCUUUUGUAUCAAUGGACCUGAAAUCAUGUCAAAGCUGGCAGGAGAAAGUGAAAGCAAUCUAAGGAAAGCAUUCGAGGAAGCUGAGAAGAAUGCCCCGUCUAUCAUAUUUAUUGAUGAGAUUGAUUCAAUUGCUCCCAAGCGGGAAAAGACGAAUGGAGAAGUUGAGAAAAGAAUUGUUUCUCAGCUUUUGACACUCAUGGAUGGGCUCAAGUCACGUGCCCAUGUCAUCGUUAUGGGUGCAACUAACCGUCCAAAUAGCAUUGAUCCUGCCCUUAGAAGGUUUGGGAGAUUCGAUAGGGAAAUAGACAUUGGUGUUCCAGAUGAAGUUGGGCGGCUUGAGGUUCUUCGUAUCCAUACAAAGAACAUGAAGUUGGCUGAAGAUGUGAAUUUGGAAAAGAUUUCCAGCAAUACUCAUGGCUACGUUGGUGCUGACUUGGCCGCUUUGUGCACUGAGGCAGCACUCCAGUGUAUCAGGGAAAAGAUGGAUGUAAUAGAUCUUGAAGAUGAAUCAAUUGAUGCCGAGAUACUCAACUCGAUGGCUGUCACCAACGAGCACUUCCAGACUGCGCUCGGGAUGAGCAAUCCCUCUGCUCUGCGAGAAACCUUGGUUGAAGUUCCAAACAUUAACUGGGAGGAUGUUGGAGGCCUUGAGAAUGUGAAGCGUGAGCUUCAGGAGACUGUUCAAUAUCCAGUCGAGCACCCUGAGAAAUUUGAGAAGUUUGGCAUGUCACCAUCAAAGGGAGUUCUUUUCUAUGGUCCACCAGGUUGCGGGAAAACUUUGCUGGCCAAGGCUAUUGCAAAUGAGUGUCAAGCUAACUUCAUCAGUAUCAAGGGUCCUGAAUUGCUUUCCAUGUGGUUUGGAGAGGCUGAGGCUAAUGUCAGAGAUAUAUUCGACAAGGCUCGCCAAUCUGCUCCUUGUGUCAUCUUCUUUGAUGAAUUGGAUUCAAUUGCUGUCCAGAGAGGAAGUCAGGCAGGAGAUUCUGGGGCCGCUGACAGAGUUUUAAAUCAACUUCUAACUGAGAUGGAUGGGAUGAACGCAAAGAAAACUGUCUUCAUUAUUGGGGCCACAAACAGACCUGACAUUAUUGAUCCUGCUCUUUUGAGACCUGGCCGUCUUGAUCAAUUGAUAUACAUCCCUCUCCCUGAUGAAGAAUCUCGACAUCAGAUUUUCAAAGCAUGCCUCAGGAAAUUGCCUGUUUCUAGGCAAGUAGACUUGAGGACUCUAGCAAAGUAUACUGAAGGCUUUAGUGGUGCUGAUAUUACUGAGAUAUGCCAACGUGCGUGCAAAUAUGCAAUCAGAGAGAACAUUGAGAAGGAUAUCGAGAAGGAGAGGAAGAGGAGAGAUAAUCCUGAGGCGAUGGAAGAAGACAUCAAGGACGAAGCAUCUGAAAUCACAGCUGGUCACUUUGAAGAAUCAAUGAAGUAUGCUCGUAGGAGUGUCAGUGAUGCUGACAUAAAAAAAUAUCAGAAAUUUGCUCAAACAUUGCAGCAGUCCAGAGGAUUUGGUACUGAAUUUCGCUUCUCUGAGUCCAGUGGCCCGGCUCUAGGAUCUGAUGCUUAUGCAACAUCUGCUGGUGGUGCUGCCGAAGAUGAGCUAUAUGCUUAGGCUGUCUUUGUUUAUGACAUGUUAGCUUGAAUGUCUAAGUACCUUUUUUGGCUCAAUUGUCGGUUUGAUUUUCCCCUGUAAAAUAGGAUAAAGAGAUUAGACUGUCCUUGUUUUCCUGCAUCUUUAAAGUACCUCAAUAAUAACAAUCUCUUUGCAAUAGUUCUUCCUAUUAGAAGCUAAGCAGUGUCAGUCAUCUGCAAUUGUUAUCUUAUUCAAUUCAGCCCUCUCUUCCACAGUGCACUUUCUGCUGUUUUUGCAUAGCAUUACAAAAUUGAUGCCUUUCAUGGUCGGAGAAGUCACGAUUAAUACAGAACAAUGAGCCUACAAGCAGAUGAUCCUCCAACUAGUGUCCAUCAUGGUGACUGAUAAAAGCCCUUUUCAGAAAACUACCAGGAUGCUCAAUGACCCAACACUUCUUGUUACUAGUGACUCUUGAAAAAAGCAUUAUACAUUAGCAUAGUUUCACUUAAAAUUUGUUGUGUAAAUACUUCUUCUUUCCAACAUAAUUUUCUGAGCUGAGAAAGAAUCCUGUAAAGCUGCAAAAGCCCAAGUAAAAAUUAUUAUUUCCAAAGCAAACAAAUAACAUCAGAAACACAAUUUACAAUCAAAAGCAAGCAGUGGAAACGAUUAACUAAAAGGCAAUAAAAAGACAAGUGAUUGCGUAAAUGCAUGAUGCUGGGCGAUCGAAAUGCUUGCAGUUUUGAGGCAUGCAACGAAUCCCCUCAUUGACGAAGAAUCCGGGAACUUUGAUAAUCCAAUUCUUGAAUGCAGACCAAAUGUUCGAGAAACUGCCUGUAAGAAAUUACCCCGUGAGAGACUGAGAGCUGAAGCAGUUUCAUGAUUCAUGAGUUUUCAGGAACACGUUGCUCAAAUUAUAGUAGGCUGCCACCUACGUGGCUGAGGCGAAAGACAUAAAAUGGAAAGUGGAGCUGCUGAAGUUUUACUGUUUUACCUUCCUAUACCUACACUAUUUAGAAAUUACGGUCUCCUAAGUCCUCAAAGAUUUCUUUUGAAACCUAUUAGCCCUCAAUAUCUCUUCUACAACAAUAUAAUACCCCGCAUUUUCAUUGGAAAUAAUGAUCAGAGGUGAUAUAUAAAUAUGAAUGACACAAUUAUAUACAUUGAAAGUGUGUGUAUAUAUGUGUGUGCGUGUGUGUGUCUAUGUAUAUAUGUAUAUGUAUAUGUAUUAUCUAAUAAUCAUUUUAACUAUGAGAAAAUUGGUUGUUUGGAUUGCAAAUUUUCAAUUGUUUUUUGGAAAAAAAUUACUGUAAUAUUUUUGUAGAAUGUAAUGUAUGUGAGAUAAAAAGAUAAUUAAAAAUAUGUAAAAGAUAUAUUCAUGAAAAAUGUAAAAUUCAAACAGGUUUUGUUCAAGAAUUUUCUAAAAAAUAACAUUAAAAAAAUUUUAAGCAAUAUGGCCAUGUAAAAUCUAAUUGUUCUCAUCCGAUAAUUUUCUUUUCAUUUUGGGAAAGUCUACAGUACUCUGAUUGUUCAAAGUUUUUGGUUGAAAACAUGUACUUGAAUUUUGUUCAUAGCCUAAGGCUUAGACUCAAAAACUAUAAAAAAAAAUUUAUAAAUAAUUUAAGUAAUUUUUAAAGAUUCUAGUAGCAUCACGAAUACUGCAACUUUGAAACAAUAUAAUACUCUUGGUUUUCCAUCAAUGUAUACUGUCAAUUGGACAAAUAAAAUAGAAAAAAUCCAAAAUAGAAAAAAUCGUAAAAAGAUGUUCCAACAGCCAAAAUAAAAGGAACUUUGACAAAGAAAUGCGCCUUCAUGCCAUCGUUAUUACAUCAACUUCUAUAUUACUCAUUGUUAUUAAAAUUCAUUAUUGAACCAUCCACUAAAUCUAGUUCUUCGUAUUGGCAUUUAUUUCUAACUUCGCAAAUGGAAGCGAAAGGGAAAAGGGAGAAGAACGAGAGUAAGAGAGUAGAUAAGAAAGGAGAUGGGUUUAAGAAGAUCUUUUUUUAAAAAUUUUAAAAGUACAAAUUCUUUUUCCAUCUUGAAUAAAGACAACGCUGGUGUAAUGUUACUUGGGUCUUAUUUGAUAAUCCAAUUCAACACUUAAAUUUAAUGAAUUCAGAUUUUAACAUGUUCACAUGCAUUUUUAACAAAAAAUUAAAAAUUUAAAUUAAUUAAAUAGCACUGAAUUUUCUGAACAAGAUUUGCUUCCAAAAAUCAGUGAUAAACUAUUUACUUAUCACGUAAUGUGAUAUACAAUAAAUGUAUCAAAUUUACUAUUUAACAAUUCAAUAACUUAAUGGAUUCAUAUUUCAGAUUUCAGUUUAGGUAUUUAAAAUACUCCUCUUUUUUCCUGACAUUUUUGGUCGGGCUAUAAUAUUAUUCUGUUAUAAAUCCCACCAAUUGUAAAUUAGUUUGUUGAUUGUAUUACUCCCACCAUUGUGAGUUCCUUGUAAUCAUAUAAAAAAAAAAUUCACGAGUUCAAACCAAGAAAGCUAAGUCGUAGUGUACAAUAACCCAAGGAAGUUUUAAAAUGAUGUGUUACAAAUUUAGUUCAUUCUCAGCAAAGGGGCCGAAAGAAACGAAGUACAGAAUAUGAGUGCAAGAACAAUUAAAAUUCAUCCACAAAUUCUUGGAACUGUCCAAGUUUGUGGUGUCAUAGUCUUUUCUUCAUUUGGCAAUGCCAUGUAUUUUUUCCAAUCCUCAAUUAACAUCCUAAGAUCAUGAAUUUUAUUGUCUAGACCAAUACAACAAUUCGCAUGCAUGGUGCAAACAAGAUUAAGAUCUUUACUAGGCUCACAAAAUCCACCGUAGAAAGCUGUGUCCAAGAACCUAAUCUUGAGCCCAAUCUCAUUGAUGAAGGGGUCAAACUUGAUCCCAUUAAGCACAUCUUGAUCAUGUUGACCGGGAAAUCUGUCUUUUGAUGUGUACCAAAACUUGUAAAAUUGGAUUGUUCGGUUAUUCGAUUUCACAUAGUUAAAUCCUCCAUUUGGAGAGUUAUUCAGGUCAGUAGAGGUGUACCAAUAAUGAUCGCAUGCAAUUUGAAAAUCUGCAUCUGAAUACAAAUGUGAGAGUGGAUCUCGAAACCACAUGACAUCGGCAUCCUGGUAGUAAAAUUGAGCAACGAGUUAAAUACUGAUAUAAACGUCGACCGAUAUAAAGAAUAGAGGUUUUAGGUUCAAAUUCCCAUAUUUCCUCUUCAUGUAUUAAAUCUCAUCCAUCUCCUGCUAGAAAAACAGAGUAAAAUGAAUAAAUAGUAAAAGUAAAGAUAAAAGAUAUUACCGUGAAAAUGAAGUUGUAUCCCAUCUUAAGAACAGUGUGCAGAAAAUCAAUCCUUCUCCACAUCAUCUUCAAAUAAUCUUGGCUCAUAAAAUGUGCCUCACCAGAAAAAUCCACGCCUUCAGUGGAAACUGAAUGACAAUGAGGGUGUACUUCCGUGCAGUGAGAGUACGCCUUCUGGUCCAAAGCCAGAACUACUACGUGAUUCAACAGCCAUUGUGUUCCAUUUCCAAUUUUGAAGCUCUCAAGAAAGAGAUCAAAUAUUGAAUUUGGUGCUGUCCAAGCUGCAUUUAGUGUUGUUAGGAUAACGGUUUUGUCCUCCAUGGCUGCUUUUCUCAGUACUAUCUCCAACUUGGUUGCUUCAUUUUCUACUUUAUCCUAAAUUAAUGAACAACAAAUUUGGAAAAACGAGAUUACUAGGGAUUGAGAAUAUUAAUGAGGUUAAAUUGGAAAAACCUAGGGAGAGGAAUGAAGAAAGAAAGGAAAAAGAAAAAUAGUUAACAAUAUGAUCAACUACUUUGUUUUUUUUUUUUUUUUGACAUUUUAAGAACGAGGAUUCGAUUUCUUGCUGCAUCUACUCUCUUUAAAGAAAAUCCAGCUUUAAGAUUGAGUCCGAAAUAAGUUUUCAUGUGAUUUCCCUUGAAACCAGCAAGAACGACAUAUAAAGAGUGAGUUUGUGUGUGUGUGUAAUCAAUCACCUGGCCUGAGCGUGGAUCAGCACUAGGUACCAUUAUAGCAAAUAGAAAACGUUAAUGGCAUCUCUCUUUUCUUUUUUCUAAAUUAGAUUUCUUUUUUCAUAUUCUUUUUUUUAACAAAUAAAAAUUUCUUCUAUCCAAUACUUUCCUUUUCUAAAAUUUGUAGUCCUAAAAAAAAUCAAAAUUUGAUAACAUUAAUGUUCUAUUAUUUUUUACAUACCGCGAUUCUACAUUAAUUUUUAUCUUUUUUAUUUGUCAUAAUUUAUCCUAACCAAAAAUUUUUAGAUCAAAAAGUCGACGAAAUUAAUUUUGUUUCUUUAGUUUUUGUUUGUCCAUUCUCUAACUAUGAUUUAAGAUUGAUUGAGAAAAGUAAGAAGAGAAAAGAAAAAUAAAAACUUAUCAUAAUAGAGGUGUAGUUUUGUUUCCUACUAAGGUUAAGUGAGAUAAAUUUAAAGGAUUUUUUUUUUCCUUAGGGGAGUUUUUGUGAUUUAUCCUUUAAUAGAAAUGGAAGCUUCCAUGAAAAUGAAGUACAAAGACUGCAGCCCAAAUUUGCAAAAGUCAUAAAAAGUUUGGCCAAUUCCAUAUGAGAUGUCAAGAUCAAUGUUUAAUUCCAGCUUCUCAUAUUUCCAUUCCCACGUUCUCAAACUUUGCAACUAAAUGCGCUGGUUUCGAAGACUAUUUACGUGGCCUUGAUCUUCACGUUAGCGUAAGAUCCUUUAUUCCUACGAAGGUUUUUUCGGCCAGGGGGGUGUGGGGCUUGUGCGUGUUGAUUGGCUUGAAGAAACAUAAAAUUCUAUAUUAUGUGGUACACACAACUCCAAUCAAGCUAGCUAAAUUAAGUUAGGUCUGCUUCGUACGCAAAACUCCAAUCAAGCAAAGCUAGGCUAAUUCAGUUAGGUCUUCUGUUUUUUAGCUUCGAUUAGAUUAAUGCACUUGAUUCUUUAACUCAUUUGAACUGUCCAAUUGAUUGCUAAAUGGUGGAAAAAAUUAAUGCAUGGAAAGAUAAUCUAACAGAAGCAAAAAAAAAAAAAAAAAGAGUCUUCCAUUGAAAAGUAUAGGAUUAUUUUCUUCAUCUGCGAAUCAGUCCAAAGUAUUGAAACCCAAAAACGAAAGGAAAAAAAAACGACCAAAAACUCGACUUCUGGUCUAAUCAGUUGUUAUGUACUUAUUUGGCUUUUAAGUGGAAAUGUGCAAUGUUAAGGGUGUAAACGCGUCAAGCUUAAUUAUAAAUUACACCCAACUCAAGUGAAAUAAUCCAAAUACCAAAAUCAAACCCAAAAAAUCCACCACAUUGAUUGUAUAGCUAAAAAAGAAUAUUCAAUCGCACAAGUCAUCAUCGGAUAUACUUAUGGAUACAAUAAUAAAAAAAAUGGAAUGACUCUCCUUCAUGCAUGCAUGGCAGAUAAAAGAUAACUUACCGGCGAAGGUAGGUUUUCUUGAACAGUAUAAUUGUUUGUCGUCAUCGGAGGAGAUAAAUUUGCCUGACUAGUCAAGUCAUUGUUAGCAGUUGCAGAUACAUUUCCUUGCAAGAUGUCAGUCGGUGGAGGUGACAAAUUUCCGGCAUCGGAAGAUUUUCCUUGAUCAGAAGAAGGCAACGAAGAUUGGUUUGCUUUUGUAGAUUCCUGAGAUGCACUGCUACUGGGAAAUGGAUUAUGGGAAGCGGGCAAGAGAUACUGUACGUGAUAAGGGGAAUGAUAAAGGACGAGGCACGCUACAAGGGCCGCAAUGGUUAAAAGGGCUAUCUUGAUGAUGCUUUUAGUAGAGAAAUUGUGGUGGUUCUGGUGGUGAAGGAGGUGGUAGCCGCCAGGUUCUGAUGGUUUCUGAUCAUUUUCACCGGUGAUCCUGCCAUCUUCCACAUCCAUCGGAACUCAAAUUGGAUGUGUGUGAUGAUGGGGGGUCAGGUAAAUUAAAUCAUCUCUUAUUCUAUAUGGACUAAUCAGAUAACGAAAAGUCAACAAUAAUUUUCCAAAACUAAUUGAAAGUCGUCGGUUGAAAUUCUAACAGCUAGUCAUUAAAGAAUAGGCUUAAGAAAAAUAGUAAGUUCUUGUACAAUUUAUAUGUUUGGCUAAUAAACCAAAUCAAAUUAAAAUAUAGGAGUUUUUUUUUUUGAUAAUUAAAAUAUAGGAGUUUGUUUAAUGAGGAAAUUUUUAGUAGUUGAGCCCGGUUAGAUUUCCAAUUGGUAUGGUUUUCUCGUUAGUUUUUAACUAUUGCACCUUUCUAUCGUUAGGUAAACACAAGAUUUUAUCAGUUGAAAUCUAUUCUUUUGGCUGCAAUGUAUUGGGAGUAGGGUAGUAUUAAAUUCUUGGAGAGUUUGAUAACUUGGAGAUAGCCAUAUUUUUAUGAGUAUUUUCCCUUGACCGUCAACCGGGGGGAAAAAUUAAAAAACAAAAGUUUAAUAAUUGAGAAACUAAGUUAUCAUUGACCAACACAAAUUGUAUAUAUAUAUAUAUAUAUAAAAUCUCGUGAUAGCGAAUUUUAAGUUUAUAAAUGUUAAAUAUAAAAUUCGUUUUGGGUUUUGAUUAAGACUAAUGAUGAGUUCACUCCCAUAAUCACCAAUUUCAUUUUAAUUGAGCGAAUAGAAGAAACCAAAAUGGUGUGUUAUCAAGCGGUCAAAAUUGGAGUAGAAUUUAUUGGGCAUUAGCAAAGAAUUAGAUUUGCAGAUUUGAUUUUGUAGGCACGUCGACCAAAAAAUAAACAAAAGACGUAAAAAAAAAAUGUUUCAAUUUCUACAAAAAUUAAAUAAGAGAAGAAGUCCAUUUCUUUUUUUUUUUUGGCACUAGAAAAACAAGCAAAUAAUUGCCUCUAGUUUGAUUCCCAAUUAUUAUGCAUGACUACCAAACUUAUCAAAGACUCUUAUAAAUAAUCAAGAGGCCUAUUUAACAGAACCCGAGAAAGAAUAUAAAGAAAAAACAAAACUUUAUAUCUUUAUAUAAUUCACUCAAGUUGUUGGCUCCACGUAUAGAAAACAAAUCCUGGGGAAGACUUUCGAGAGACGCCAAAACUGCUGACAAGUUUUAUAAUCGCUCUUUUUUUUUUUUUUUUGAACUUUAUUAUUAAUCCGGAAAUUUCUUGCAGGCAAUAACUGGCCGUGCAUGUUUUAUUAAGCCAAUGACUAGAAGUUCCUAUUAUCUUAACAGGGAAAUCUGGAAACGCAUUGAAAACGUACGCCUGCAUGCGAUGCCAACUUCUAUGGCCAACGGCACGCUUUCUUCACAAGAAGCGACGACUUAAAUUCUAGCACUCGCAGGUCACAUAACUCAAAACAAGGGUGAUUUAUAUGCUCCUUAUAUUCGAUUCCUGCACUUUUGUUGGUAAUUGAUCCAAUUGACCGAAGCAACUUCGAUCCCUCUAAUCUAGUAUAUAUAGAAAUGCAUCAUCUGGUUUAGAGCUGAAUGCUCCUCUGAUAUAUGUAAGAAUGGUAUAAAUAUUGUCGAUUAAACAAGAAAUUGACCCACUGCAUAUGUUGUUUGUGGAACCAUGUCUAAAUUAUUUUUGCAAAACAGAGGGAUCAGCUCACAAUCCCCUCAACAAAACCCUUCUCAAGCUUAAGUCAACUAUAUUGCUGUGAAUAAUAAACAAAGUCGUCCAAAAUUCUAAAUGAUAGGAAGAAGGAAAAUGAUAUCUUUUAUGUGAUAAAAGCAUAAAAGAUGAUCCACCUUCUUGUUUUCAACUGUAGUUUAGGCAUUCUUUUUUUUUUUUUUCAAUUGCUUAUUAUAGUUGAACUCAUAGGAAGAAAAUACAAGUUGUGAUAACAAAAAAUGUGUUAUAUUGAAAUUCGGAACUUUUAUCAUGAAAUUCGGGAACUUUUAUGAACUUUUCGUUCAUAAUCUUGUAAAAAUCAGAGUUUUGCCUUUACAAAUGUGCAUCUUUACUAGUUUUGCCUCUGUAGAAUCUGCAGCUUUCCAGUCUUCCCAUCUUCUUUAAGUUCAACCUUUUUUAGGUGCUACCGGAUGAUUUAUCUAUACAAUUUCGUCUACUGUCUUCGCCUACUGAUUAGUGCUAAUAUAUGUCUUCACUCUUGACCAAAACACACUUAACAAAUGCUUGAACCGCCAAUAAUGGAACAAAAAGAAGUUAACAAAAACCGCACGUCGACAGGGGAGCGAAUUUGACUCUGGGAUGAGGAUCGACAAGUCCAAUCAUAUCCUGCACUAAUUUUCUAUGUACGGAUUUUUGGUCUUCUUGGGGAUGUAGCUUUUAUCCCUUUGGCAUGCUCUCCAGUCUGAAUUGAUUUCACGUUUAAGGACAAAAAAAAACAAAACUUAUUUUGCUAUCUUUCCAUCUAGUUUCAUUUCAUUGAUAACAUUACUGACUAGUUUAGCCAAACCGUAACUACAAAGAUUGAAUUCUGUUCUUCUAAAAAGGCAAUGUACGACGCAAGUGCUGACAUUGACAUACAGGAAUUGCUUUCACGAGAGCUGUCCUAACAGCAUAGGAUCACCCGAAAGCAGGCUUGGUAUGGACCAGGUUGUUGGAACUUGGAAGCUUGCCCAAUCCAUGUUUACCGACAACAGCAUCAGUGUAGAUGAAAGUUUGAGUGUUGAGUCUGCAAAGUAGAGGAUACGAAUGUCCUCUCGAGUCUUCUCAUCAUGACUAAUAUUCAUCUGGCUUCCUUGAACUCAUGCCACUCUUCCACAGCUUUCUUUGAAAUUAGGCUCCCUUCUUGUUUCUGAUCAUUGGUUUAAAAACAGUUUUCUGAUAGUUGAUUUCAUUUCUUCCUUAGUCUUGAAUAGUUAUAAAACUUAUGACGAUUAACUGCAACGUAAACUUUUUAUACACUGUUGAUCUAAGAAUAAAUGGCUUUCAUGAAAACAAAAAAGCAAAAAUAACAAGGAAUCAUCAGUCUAAUAACUAUUCCUGAGAAAGUCAGUAUACUUUACUUGACUGGAGGAUGAAGAUUUCUGUGGUCCAUUGCAUCCUUUAAAAAGAAAAGGAAAAAAAAAAAAAACUAAAGGGAUUCUUAGCACACUGAAAACGAAACAUCUUGGGGAUAUUGGAAAAACUCUCUUACUGAGAGCUUUCUCUCUCUAACUGAGAGCUUUCCCUCCUCUGAGUAGGAGAUUAAAAUUUCAAAGGAAAGUGCCCGCCCAAAAUACAUCUGCAUCCAACUCAUGAUACGAAAUGUGCUGGAUUCUACACAACACCACUGCUGAGCAAGGAAUCAAGAACCAGAUCUUGAACAACAUCUCUGUAGUAGAUAUAGAGAAACUGGGAGGUCGUGAAGGAGCAUCUAAAAUGACAGGUUUCACUGACUUUAUCUGCUCUUUUAUGUCUUUUAUGUCCUUUGCAUCUGCAUAUAUAUAAGUAGGUGUCUUUCUGUUCGUCUUGCCUACCUGGUAGUGCACUUACCUAGGGAAGUUAGUAGUCGGAUCUCCUAUUCCCUCUGUUUUAGUCAGGCUCUAGCUUUUGCUUUUCUAUAUAAGUAGGGGUAUCCCACUAAAAUCUCCAGUGCACCAUGGCUGAUGAACUGGAGGAAGUCUUAAAGAAGUUUGCUUUAUCGAACCUAGAGCAGAACGGAACAUGGCUGGACAUGGAUGACAUCAAUCCGGGGAUAACUGAGUGCGAAAAUAGCAUUAUUGGGAAGAUUAGAGGAGAAAAAGUUGCAAAUUUUACCGGAGUCAAGAAUUUCGUGACAGGAGCUUGGGGUUACCCAAAAAAUCUGGAGGUAGCGGAGCUAGGUCCUAACUUAUUUCAGUUCACCAUACCAGAUGAGGAGAACAGACUGAGAAUACUGAAUGGUGGACCAUGGCUGAUAGACAGUCAGAUUCUAGUACUACAUAGAUGGGAGGCUGGGAUUGAGGAAAAUUCUGAGGCAUUUAGGUUCGCCCCUCUAUGGGUGCAAGUAUGGAAUUUACCAAUCCACUGGAUCUCGAAAGAGGCAGGGAAAAAGAUAGGGAAAGUGUUUAAAGAGGUGAAGGAAGUAUUAGUCUCCCAUACAGGAGGGAAGGAAGGGAAACAUUUGAAGAUGUUAGUGUGGGCAGACAUGACCCAACCUUUGCUACGUGGAACAGCAGUCAAGUUGAAUGGGGAGGUAAAAUGGAUUAACUUUAAGUAUGAAAGAGUACCUGAUUUCUGCUAUAAGUGUGGAAUUGUUGGCCACAGUGAGAAGAAGUGCAAGAACGUAGUGAUCAUUAAAAAGGGACAACAGGAGAACCAAUAUGGCCCCUGGCUACGAGCACAAAGUGGAAGAGGAUCUCCACAUAAGGAGAGUAUUCACAGUUCAUAUAAUCCGGACAGGCAGGUUUGGGGGUUUCAAGAUGGGGAAUGGAUCAAGAGGAGCAAUGGUAAAAAAGCAGAUCAGGUGGCCAAUGUUAACAGAACUGAGUGUGCGAAAAGCUUGGAUCUGACCAAGAAGGCAUGCUCAGUAGGGGAUCAGAAAGAGGGGCAGGAAGAUAGGAUUCAGGAACCAUAUGAGGAGGAUGAGGUGAUCCAGGAUGCUCAGGAGACAGGUAUCUAUAAUAAAGAAUCUGAAAGGAUAAAUAAUGAGAGCACCCUCGAGUCUGUCUCAACAGAGUGUGAGUUAGAGAGUAUGGUGCAAGUAGCAAGGCCUAUGGUAGCAUUUGGAGAGUCUAGUACCAGGAACCUGGAUAGGAGUAUGGAGGGAAGGGAUGACAAAUCUAUGGACAUGCUGCUGGAUGAGGAAAUACAUAGCCAGGAUAAGGAAAAUGGUGUAAGAAGGGUGAGGAAAGUAAGAUUAUGGAGUAAAAGAAGCGACAGUGAUAGGCAACCUCUAAGUGAUAUUCAGAAUAGGGAAUCCAAGAAAGGAGGCAAUAGUAAGAGAAAGCUACAAAUAGUUGAUGAGGAAAUGCUGGAUAUGGAACAGAAGGAGCAGAUUGGAAAACGUUACAAAGGGAGCAAUGAGAUGGAACUUUCUGAUCAGAUACUGAGGGGGGAAGAGACCAGCCCAUCUUGGUCUCUCAAUCAUCAAUGAGAGCUCUGGUGUGGAACUGCCAAGGUGCUGGGAGCCCCUUGACAGUUCCCCAUCUGAAGGAGGAAAAUAGACUCCUCUCCCCUAGUAUCAUCUUCCUUUGUGAAACAAAAAACAGAAAGUUAAGAGGAUUUUGAACUUUGAUAAUAGUUUUGUUAUAGAGGCUAUGAAUAGGAGUGGUGGUAUGGCCCUCCUGUGGAAGAAUGAAACCAAUAUUUUAGAAGUACAAGGUACGGCUUUUACAAUUGAGGUGAAAGUGGAGGAUAAAGAAAAAAAGAAUGUUGGUGGUUGAUUGGAAUCUACGCAAGCUGUGAUAGCCAAGUGAGAAGAGGUCAAUGGGAUGUACUGAAUAGGAGGAAAGUUGGAUGGGGGGAUAAAUGGAUUAUAAUAGGUGACUUCAAUGAUAUCACCUCAAAUGACGAAAAAUGGGGUGGAAGGAGGAGGGAUAAUAGAAGCCUUCAGGAUUUUCGGGAGUUUAUAAAUGAGAACCAGCUUUUGGAUGUUGGAUAUCUGGGAAAGCCUUGGACUUGGAGUAACAACUGGUAUGGGAGUGGAGAAAUUAAAGAGCGACUGGAUAGAGGCCUAUGUACCAUAAAAUGGUCGCAGUGCUAUGAGGACGCAAAGUGUCUACACAUUGAAUCGAUUGCUUCUGACCAUAGCAUGUUGUUACUUGAAACAGAGAAGGAAAGGAAGAGAUGGAAAAAAAGAUUCCAGUUUGAUAAAAGAUGGCUACAACAUAAGGAUAUUGUGGAGGUGGUAAAGAAGGCUUGGAGUGUCCAGUGCGAGGGAACUAGAUGGUUCAAGGUAAAGGAGAAAAUCAAGAACUACAGGAUUGAGCUUCUUAAAUGGAGCAGCAAUAAGAAAGGGAACUCUCUGGAUAGAAUUAAAUGGUGCAAAGACCAGAUUGAGGAAAUUAAGGCAUCAGAGGUUGAAAACAAAAGACCAAGGAUUCAGGAAUUGAAACAACAAUUGAAAGUAGCUUAUGACAAUGAAGAGGCCUAUUGGAAUCAGAAAUCCAGAUUGAGAUGGCUAAAAGAGGGAGAUAAAAACACCCAAUUUUUUCAUGCAACAGUCAAAGGAAGAAGGAGCAGAAACAGAAUCCAGAAGCUGAAGAAAUCUAGUGGGGAGUGGACUUCUACUGAUGAGGAGCUAGGAAAGGAAAUUGCUGACUAUUAUGAAGAGUUGUUUAAGAGUUCAGGGUCGGUGGUGCUUGAUGAAAUUUUAGAGGGGAUCCCUGUAUCUAUAACAGAGCAAAUGAAUAGAGACCUGACCAAAGAUGUUGAGGAAGAGGAGAUCAAGACUGCCUUCUUCUUUAUGGAACCUAAUAAGGCUCCUGGGAGUGAUGGCAUGUCUCCACUUUUCUUUCAAAAAUUCUGGAGCUCUAUUAAGCAAGACCUGGUAAGUGCGAUUCAAGGUUUCUCCAUAAUAAUGUUAUUCUUAAAGCCAUUAAUCAUACAAUCAUCUCCUUAAUCCCAAAAGUAGACUGCCCUUCAGAGAUUAAACAGUUUAGGCCUAUCAGCUUAUGCCAAGUGGUCUACAAAGCCCUUGCAAAAAUUCUGGUCAAUAGGCUUAAACCUUUCCUAUCUAAGUGCAUUAGCAAAAACCAGUCUGCAUUUGUCCCAGGUAGGCAAAUCAUAGAUAAUGUCAUCCUUUCCCAUGAGUUGCUGCAUUUCUUGAAAAACAAAAGACAAGGGAGAGCUGGGAUGAUGGCAGUGAAACUUGACAUGUCAAAGGCCUACGAUAGGGUGGAGUGGGGUUUCUUGAAAGUGAUAAUUGAAAGAAUGGGAUUCUGUUACAAGUGGAUAAGAUGGAUUAUAGCCUGUAUUAGCUCAGUCACCUACUCCUUCAACAUAAAUGGUGACCAGAAGGAGUACAUAACCCCAACCAGAGGGAUAAGACAAGGUGACCCACUUUCUCCAUACUUGUUUCUGUUGUGCUCAGAAGGGUUGUCUAAUCUGAUUCAGAAAGCUAAGCUGGGGAAGCAACUGACAGGUAUAAAAAUCAGUAGAGGGGCACCAGCAAUAACACAUUUGUUUUUUGCUGAUGACUCUCUAGUAUUCUGCAGAGCUAAUGGUCAGGAAGCUGGGGUGCUAAUGAGCAUUCUCAAGGUGUACGAAAAGGUAACUGGUCAGCUUAUCAACAUGGAUAAAUCCUCAGUGUUCUUCAGUAAAAACACAACCCAAGUUGUAAUAGAGGAAGUCUGCCAAGCUAUGGGAUCUAUUCAGCAGAUAGGACAGGGUCAAUACCUAGGCCUCCCUAUGAUCAUAACAAGAUCUAAAGGGCAGGUGUUUGGGUAUAUACGGAAUGCUGUUGAUAAGAAACUGCAGAGUUGGAAAAAUAAACUGUUAAGCCAAGCAGGGAAAGAAGUCAUGCUUAAAGCUGUAGCUAUGGCUAUGCCAACUUACACCAUGUCAUGUUUCAGGAUGAGCUCUAAAAUGUGCAGGGACAUAAGCGCAAAAAUGGCAGACUACUGGUGGGGGGAGACAGAAGGAAAGAAAAGGAUGCAUUGGAUUGGAUGGAGAAAGAUGACAGAAUCCAAAAGUAAGGGGGGUAUGGGAUUCAAAGACUUGCAAGGUUUCAAUAGAGCUCUACUGGGCAAGCAAGUUUGGAAGCUGUUAACACAACCAAACCUGCUAGUCAGUAGAGUCUUGAAGGAAAAAUACUACCCCAGGCAAUCAUUAUUCACCAGUAAAGUCCCUCAAAAUGCUUCUUGGAUUUGGCAAAGCCUAGCUGAGGUGCGAAAAGAAGGUCAGAAGGGUAUCAAAAGAAAGAUAGGAAAUGGCAAGGCUACGUGUAUCUGGGAAGACUGUUGGAUUCCAGAUAGCAAAAGUGGGAAACCAACAACACCAAGACCACCAGGAUGUCAUUUAAAGCAUGUGUCAGAUCUUAUCAUCAACAACAGAUGGAAUGCUGUCUUGAUAUUCAGAAUAUUCAGCCAGCAAGAUGCCGAAAGGAUACUGAGGAUACCUAUAAGCUUUACAGGGAAAGAUGAUGGGCAUUACUGGAUUCACUCUCAAACUGGACAAUACACUACUCAAUCUGGAUAUAAGAAUUGGUUGAAGGAAAAGGAGCUGGAGAGUAUAGGAAGGAGGGAUGAAGCAGGGACAAGCUAUGAAGGAUCUAUAAAGAGAGUGUAGACACCAAAUUUUUGGUGUUUUAUUAUUUAUUUUUUUUACUAUUUGUUUUUUAUUUGUUCUAUUUUUAUUUGUCACAAUUAGUUUUAUUUACUUUUAGUUUUAGUUAUUUUAGCCAUUUUAGCGUAGAAUUUCUCAAAGGAAAAAGAAAAGCGUUCAAAAAAUAUGUUUUAGUUGUUUUGGAUUUAGUUUCAUUAUCUAAAAAUGAAAAGAAAAAAGAAAAAUUGAAAAAUGAAAAAGAGGGAAAAAGAAGAAGUGGAAAAGAAGAAAAACAAUGAAAAAUGGAAAAAGAAAAGAGGAAAAUGGAAAUUGCACUUUGUUGCUUUUAGUUUAAUCAUUUUUAUCCAAUGUUAAUUAAAUUAUUUUUAUUUAUUUUUAUUAUCAAUUUUGUUUUAAUUAAUUUCAAAAAAAAAAAAAAAGUGUUGCGGCAUGCACGCUGCAAUUUUUUGCAGCGUGCAAAGGACAGCCACGGAGCUACUUUGGAGGGCUGGAUGUGAAGGCAAGGGAGGCCUUUCAUCCUCACCAUUGGGGUGAGGGUUUAGGAACUUGGAUUCCCAUAUAAAUAGCAAGGGAAAGCAGCAGCCGUAGGGGUUUUUAGAGGAGAGAGCUGACGGAAGGAAAAACCGAGAGCAAGGGAGAGAAAUCUGGGCUGAGGUUUCUAAGAGAGAAAAGAGAGCAAGAGAGGGUGGCGGCUGGAAACUAAGUGAGGGAGAACGGGAGAGAGCAUUAAGGGACGGCUAAAAAACAAGUAACGAAAAGAGAAUCGGGGGGGAGCUAAGCAGAGACAGACGGCUAGAAAGAUUUUGAGGAGAGCAAAGAAAGAAGCCGAAAGGGAGUUUUGGGUGGCGACUGAGAGCUAGCAAACAGGAGGAAGAAAACAGCCGAGAGGAGGGCUAAGAAAACAAGAAAAGAGGAUCCAUGAGCGGCGAGGCUUUGAGGGGAAAAGCUGUCGACCAAACAGGGAGGGAAGACAGAAUCUGGUGCUUUUUCCUUGGCGAGCCAAGAAUCUAUUGAAGCUGCUGACCCUCGUGAGAAGUUGUGAUACCAUCUUCAGCCGUGAAUCUCCAUCGAAAGCGAAGAAAGAAAAGUUCAGAACCUCUCUGCUGAAAUUUGAGCCAAGCGAAAGGGGCGCCAGGUUUCACUCCAGAAAAUCUACGCAGCUUGCAUCGGUUCCUUAGGUUUCGUUGUCUCGGUUUAAGGGCAGUGGAACGGGUAAUUUUCUAUCCUGUUUUCUUUUUUCAUUUUUAUCGUUAAGUGAAGCCCAAAUCUGCUAGGCCGAAACUGGGUUUGGUUCAUCUGCUGGUUCUCUGCUAAGUUAAUAUGCAUUAACCUUGCGCCCGACUUGGGUUAAAGCUUUGGUCUGGUAUCUUAUUUGCUUUCAUGGUCUGUGUUUAGGAGGUUCCCUUGAAGGCUUAGUUUUUCUGUUUUAGCUGGGAAAAUCGUGGUCUUGACCUGGGUUUUGGGACCUCCAUUUGGGGUUUUACUUGUAGCUUGAUUGAUACAGUAUGUGCGCAUGAGUUUAACUACAUUGGGUUGUGGAUUUUAAUGGGUUGUGGCUGAUUGUCUUACUAGUUGUGGUUUAACUUUGUGAAGUAUGUUUGAGUGGAAUAAAUCGAAAAAUGAUAGUAGGAAUAUUGCAGAAAUUUUCUUGCUUGAGGUUCGCAUGAUUGAAUGACCGAAUUUCUGUAAUUCUGUUGCUGCAUUAAACUGUGAAUUCCAUGAUUAGCUGGAACCUUUGCUGUCGAGGUGCUGCACCACGGUUCACAGCUCGUGAGGACCACAUUUCUGUUCUUCAUGUUUUCGUGUCUUGCGUUUAUAGCAUUCAGGUUACCAGCUAGGGGAUGAUUGUUUCAUCUUGAUCAGAUUCAAAUUUUUCAAGAGCAUAAAAAUACUUGGCUGCACCUUCGUUUUGCUGUUAUGAAAACAGCUGCUGCACUUUUCAUUCUCCCUUCGUUUGCUGUUUACCUUUCAUCCUUGAUGAUUAGCUCAAAAUUCUUGGCUUCAAUCCUGCAACAAGAUUGCAUGUUUCAGGUGAUAAUUGAUAGUUAGAAUCCCAGUGUUUGAUGAGCUUGUUUACAUGAUGAAAAAGCAAAAAAAGUCUCGGCUGGGAAGAAUUGCAGAAACUUGCGGCAUUUCCUUUCUCUCCUUCUAUUGCUGUUUUGCUGUUUACUUUCAUCUUUGAUGGUCAGCCCCAAUUCUUUGUUUCCACCCUUCCAUGAAGUUGCAUGUUUAGUCAAUGAUUGUUAGUGAAAAUCUUGACAUUUGGUGAGCAUACUCGCAUGACGAACUGGAAAGGAAUUCACGGCAGAAAUUGCAGCACUUUACUCCUUUCUUUGGUUGAUAUUUCUUGUAUCUCUGGUAGCCACCAAUCCAGAUUUUCUGUUUUAGUCUUGUAAUGGAAGUGUCACUCGAAUUGGUUGAUGAUUAGGAGUGAUGUUUUGUGGUUGUUGAUGUUUGUUUGGUGAUGCAUUUGGUUAAUAAUGAAACACAGCAUAUCAUAUAGGAAAGGAAACCAGAAUUGCGGAAGGCCUUCUACGUGAUUGCAUGGUUUUUGCAUGAAAAUAACUUCUGAAAAAUUACACUUUAACCCCCCAAGUCUCUCCUUUAUUUCACUAGAACCCAAUCAAUUAAAUAAUUUCAUCAAUUUGGUCCUUGGUAAUUUUAAUUCGUGCAACUUCAUUGCUUAUUUGCUUCAAUUAACUACCAUGCUUUGUUUCAAUUGCAUUUAAGACAUGACUUUAGGGGCUUUAUGAUCAAGUGAGCUUUGUUUUGCGCAUUUCUUUUAAUUUUUCUUAAAUAAAGUGGUACCUUGACUUUUUUAUUGUUUUGAAGCCAUUUUUACUUCAUUUGAUUACCAUCGCGAGGGAGGUAUAACUUCUUUUAUCUUUUUUGUCUCUCCUACGUGAUCCAACGUGCUAAGUGAAAAUUGCAUGUCUACUUCGUUUUCUUUGCCUUUUCUUAAUUCCUUUCAUUUAUUUCAUUUACUUUUGCUUUUAUUCUUUUAAUGGGGUAUGUGUACACCUCUUGGCUUGUAAUAGAUAGGGCUCGGAGAGCAUUUUGUCCAUUCUCCCCUUCCCCUUUUGUUUCAUUGCUUGUUUUGGUUGCUAUGUGUUUAAUUGCUUUAUUAGGCCUUUGCAUCUAGUCGAGCAUGCUAAGUGUUAUGUGCUACGUGUUUGUAGAUGAUUUGCAUGCCUACUGGCUUUCUAUAGUCAUAAAUGAACUUGAUGGAUGAAUGUACGUCCCUACACUAGUCCAAUGCUAGUUGUGGCCCCUUUUCCGUCACCGCACUAGUCCAAGGCUAGUUGUAGUUUUUUGCUCCGUUUCCACUAGUCCAAUGCUAGUAGGAAUUCAUAGAAAGGGCUAGUCCAACGCUAGACCCAAUAGGCCGUCCCUUCCGAUAGUUCAUAUUUGCAUGUUCACUACAUGUCAUGCAUUUUUCUUAGUUUUAUCAUUUGGCAUGCUCCUCGAACCCCUCUUCCCCUCAUUUUUAGGUUUUUGCAUUUCACGCCAGUUAUAGGGUACAUUUGCUUGAAGGGUCCCCUUAAAUAUGGGAUAUAGACGAGUGUGGCUUUUUCUAAGCCUUAACACGCUUGUAUUCCCUUUAUCAAAGGAAAAAUUGAGUCACGAUUUAGGUCUCCCCGUGCCCAAUAUGCAUGCAUUCCCUAGGCUCAUGCACUUUAAAUCCAUCCCACCAUUUUAUAUCCUCAUUACACUUUCAUUUUUCCUUCCAUUUGCACACGUGCACCUUUAUAUCCCUUCACUUGCACACGAACACUUUUAUCUUCACUUGCACACGAACACUUUUAUCUUCAUUUGCACACCUCCACUUACAUCCCAUUAUUUUUAUCAUUUUUCUCACUUCACACAAACUCACAUUUUCACAUGGCAUGCAUUCCACCCAUUUUUACGUCAUUUAGGUUUAUGUGUGACCUCUUCAAAGGAUCAUUAUUGGGCUUCACAAUUAAUGUGAUUGGCACCACUCAACCUUUGAAGAGAGAUUUCCCCCAUGUCCCCCUAGGUCUAGAUUUUUGCAUUCAUAUAGACAUAUCCAACACGCGAUACAUACCUUGGGUAGAAAAAUUAGGAAAAGUUGGGUUAAGUCACGCAACUAGCCUUGGCUAGGUCGAAUGGGUGCCUUGGAUUUUUAUCAUUGCCUUCCCCUUCGUCAAAUGUGACCCCCGAUCCCUCUUUUUUGGUUACGUAGACCCAAAAGUUCUCUAAAAGGGUUUAUUUACUUUUUUCAUUCAAAAAUAAAAAAUCAUUUUUUGGGUGACUUGGUACACCCUAACUCUAUACCAAGUGGCGACUCCAUUUUCAUUAAAAACCCUUUUUUGAACUUUAUAUGGCCAAACCGUCGCAUUAUCAAGUCCCAUGGCCUUUAUUUUCAUUUUGCACACGUUCACACACACACUACACACUCACAUCUCACACAACACAUUCAAAAAGUGGGGCGCGACAGAGAGCUUGGAAAUCACUUUGGAAGCAGAAAGUGUGCCAAAAAAUGAAAGUAUUUAUAUGGAAAUGUCUGCAUGGAGGGCUCCCAGUGAGAGGUGAAAUUUACAGACGAACGAAGCAAGGAGAUCCUAAAUGUGCAGCGUGUGGUGAAGAGGAUGAAACAGUAGAACACAUGUUGCUACAAUGCAACAAAGUAAAGGAAGUUUGGAAGCUAGCGCCUGUACAAUGGGAUGGCAUACAGCAUGUAUCAAACUGUUUCAUGAAAUGGUGGACUGCAAUCAUGGAAGCUCAAGAGGAGAGAGGAGGAGAGGACCAUGCGAACCUCACCAUAAAUAUUCUCUGGCAGAUUUGGAAGGCCAGAAACGAGAGGGAGUUUGAAUGCAAGGAAAAGGAACCUCAUAAAGUAAUACAAAAAGCUGUGAAAGGUUGGACGGAAUUUGAUGAGGCCAACAUAGGGAAGGAGACAAGGAAGAACACUCAGGGAAUAGAAAUACUGGAAUGUGCUGAGCAAGACCAAAGACAGAGUGAGAACCAAGCCAGGCUGAUGAUCAAGGUCCACACUCACCAAGACAGAAGGCAACAAAUGGUGGGAAUUGGAGUCACUGCGACUGACUUGGCAGGUUGUCUACAAGCGAGUUGGGCAUUAAGGGAAAGAAUGUCAGGAGACACAAAGCAGGACCUAGCUGGUGCGGUGAGACUUGCACUAUUGAACGCAAUCAAUCAAGGCUGGACAUGUAUUAAAGUGGAGCUGGAGGAUAGUGAGCUGGUAGAGUGCAUAAAACAUACAAGGACAAGUAAUCAACAGAUGGCUACUCUGCUGGAGGAUAUACAAUCUAUAAGUAAUCUGUUCCAAAAGUGUACUUUCUCUUUUGUUGAAUCAGGAUUCGUAGGAAGUAUCAAGUUGAGCAUGUAUGCUCUAAAUAUCUUUGUUGAUGAGGAAUGGGUGAAUCCCAAUUUGAAGUGCUAGGCACUAAUGUUUUGGUAGGACUUUUGUCCUGGUGAAUGGACCUUUGUCCAUAUAUGUACAUGUUUGAGUAAUUUAUAAAGCUAUCGUUUCGACAAAAAAAAAAAAGAAAACGAAACAUCUUGCAUGUACAUUUCCUGCUAUGUCGUACCUCCACUUCCUACGAGUCUAUGACCACCAAAAAUAAAAGGCAAGAAUCUACAACAAUUUUUUGCACAUAUUGUUCCAUGUCUUAGAGAAAUUAAAGUAUAUUUGUUAUAGCAAUUGGACUUCUUUCAAUGUUUUACUAGCACAUAAGAUACUUGGAUGAUCAAUGUUUGCAUACGUUAUCUAAGUUAUAGUCAUGGCUUUCCAUUCCAUUGUACGUAUAUAUGAUUACAUCCUAAAUUUUUCUACUUCUACCCUUUUCCUGACCGGAUUUUUCAUUAUAAAAGCAUUGAAAUUUUGCUUAUCAAAAAGAAAAGAGAGAGAGAAGAAAAGAUUUUCCAUCAAUCUAACUUUAUUUAUUUCAUACAUAUUUUCAAAGUUCAUUAUUUAUCAAAGUUUUUUUGAUAGAAAACAAGAACGAUUUUAUUAGUUAAUGAGAUUGCUGGAAUUCAUCCAGUACCACUAAUUUGACAAAGCUCCAUGGGGAAUUUCAAAGAGAUUCUGGAAGGAUAACACCUCAAAGGAUUACCAAUUUUUUAAUUGUUUACCAAAGUGAAUUAUUUAAAAACAAGCAAAGGAUUUCAAACUGUCUCGCAGGUAGAUGAAGACCGGGAAAUUCCAAACUGUCCAUGCCCAUGGUGGGCUGACGAGCUAACCUUGUAAAAUUGGGUUGAACCCAAUUACAUAUGGCUCCAAUUGAACUAGUCUCGACAAAGACUAAUCAAGAAGCCCUGAUCCAGAGUCCAUUCGAAGGUUUUCAUUUUUCUUCGAUUAUAUACUAUUUUUCAGUUCAUCAGUAGGUUGUUUGAUAAAAGUUGUGAAGGCUUGAAGUUGGCAUACAUCACAAGACUUGGAAGUAAUGGCUACAAUGUUGGAUUGUUAAUUUCUUUAUGCUUUUUCUGACCGGAAAUUCUGGAUGCUGGAUUCUCAAAAUUCUCCUUUCGUUGCUGCUUUCUCUGAAUCCUGUAUCUUUACCUUCUUGUCUUCCUGGUAUAUAGAUGGUGUACAACGUCGAGGAAGGCAACAUAUGGCUUCAAUUCUUGUUCAAAUCUAUGAUUUCUGACAUGGUCAGAUGGCCUCAAAUUGUUACGUUAAGACUUGAGACUUUUUUUUUUUUUUUUGAGGGUCGUUAAAACUUAAGACUACUACAAAUGUGUUUUGCCAACUAUUGGUCUUUAAGAAUUCUAUUUAACAUCUACACAAACUACAAAAUAGAUACUUAAAAAGAAGUGUCUCAAGCUAAAUAUCUAAAUCCGUGGGGUUGGGUUGCAUUGUAAGGUAGAAGAAAUGGUAAGUAGGAAGUUCUAAAUUAUAAACCUUUCACUUGUCAAAAAAAAAUAAAAUCAUCUAACCUUGCCAUUAGUCCAUGUCAUGCCUAAAAAGUAAAAUUUUUUAUCGAUUUGGCUAACUGGUGCAUAAUGGAUAGUUGGAUACUGUUAAGAGGGGUAUCAAGUGUUAAUUCUUUUGAGAAAAUGUAGUUAAUUCGAUAAAUAUAUUUAAAUAUAAAGGAUGCAAUAAUGAUAAUUAUACGUAUUCACGUGAUAAGUUAAACGUAACGUAAAUGCGUGCUAAUAGUACUUAGUGGAGACCCAUUAGAAAAAUCUAACUUUUUAUAUCAGAGUAUCAAUUAAUUAGAAGAUCUCAAACUUGAUCUUUGUAGCGAGACAUUUUAUAAUUGCAGAUGAGCUGAAAUCAAGGGGUUUAUCAUCUUACAUGUUUGGCUAGCAUCCAAGAUUGGGCAGUAUAACAUCCUAAAAUCCCGGUACCUCUGCCUACAUCCAACAUGUUCUUGCCGUGGGAUGUUAAGAUUUAAAAUCAUUGUCGUUAGGCAUAGAGAUAAUCCAAAAUGUGGACCAAGCUCCAUUUUCACCUAAGAAAACAUGAUGUGUUUGUUUGGAUUGGGCUUUAUUUCCCCAAAUUUAUUUGCUUACAUCAUCAUUACAAUUUCCAAUACACCUUUUUACCUUCCCAAUUACCUUUUUAUCUCACAUACAUCACAUCACAAAAAGUGCUACAGUAAAAAUAUCUCUAAUAAUUCACAAUCCAAAUAGAAUAAUAGGACCAACACAAGUCAAUAAUAGGACCAACACAAGUCACUAGCUUAAUCUUUAAUAGAUACCACUCCCAUGUGAGGAGGCCAACAUUCCUGUGGUUCGAGCAGAACAAAUAAAAGUUUGUCGCCUAUUGUCAAAUACCAAAGCAAAAUUACCACAGGUUAUUUGAAUAAAACACAAGUUUGAAUAUUUAUUUGUAAAAGAUCGUGUGUUUAAAUUUUAUUAUCGAUGUAUAAGGAUUGUUUUGGAGGACGAUUCGUAAGAAUUUCAGUAAGCAAUCUAUGAUCCCAGACAAGAUUAGGAGGAUGGUUUUAUUUAUCUUAGCAUGUACCUUUCUGAAAUAGCAUUUCCUUUCUUUUCUGGCAAAGGUAUAAAGUGCUGAUAUCGACUCAAUUUGUUCAAACACGGCAACAAUAAUAAUUCAAAGAAAGCUAACCACCAUAUUCAUUGCUUACCAAGUCUGCCACAUUUAUGAACAGACUACCUCUCAUUAUGUUGCAUAAUUAGACUUCCAAAAGCAAGUCCUCAAAGCAAGCUACCUUCCUGUGUUUCUGAAACCAAAUUUAUCAAUUACCUUCCUUUAUUAUUAUUAUUAUUGUGAUUUUUUGGGGUCCAAUCCAACCACUUACUGAACUAGCAAUGCUCCCGGUUCCCCUUUUUUUGCUCUCCUAGUCCUGGCUCACGGAGUCAAUUUAUUCAAAUGGAAUUAUAGGAAUACCAAGAAAGAGGAGUCAAUGGUAUUCGUGUACUUAAUGUAUAUCUAAUUUACUAGCAUUUAAAUGCAUGCAAAAAAAAAAAAAAAUCUUUUCCGUAUUUUGAUAUGCAUAUGCUGCUUUUCUCUUGCCUUUAAAUGCUUCCAAAAAUCGAUGUUAAUUUUGUCAAAAAGAAAAAGAAAAAAGAAACUCAGUGACACCCACCAUUACUCAUACAUGCAGCACCAGCCAAACAAACCCUUUAGUUUGAUAACACACAAUCCACUUUUUUCAUAUAGUACUUAUUAGGGAAAAUGAUCGGUUUCAUCCUUCACAUUUCACAAAAAUAUUCUUUUCGUCCCUUACUUUUAAAGUGAAGCAAUUUCGUCCUUGACAUUUAAAAACUGAAAUUAUUACAUCCCUAAACCCAAAUUUCAAUUUGAAUCAAACAACCAAUCAACCUGAUUACAAAUUUUGCGGGUGUAAUUGGUAGAUCACUUGAUUAACUCAACUUGAUGUUCAUGUGAAAUUUAAUUCAUUUUGCAGGGAAGAUCUUUUUGACUCAGCUGCACAAAUGCAGGAGGGAUUAAUUCAUUUUGAUUUGGAAGAUCUUUUUUGUGCUUAAAAGUGCUAUUCUUGCUGAUUUUUCAAAUCUAUCGUAAAUGUCUGCAUUUGGAUGUGUUUACAUCUGUUAAACGUGGGAUGUAAUUUCCAUUUUUAGUGCAGAUUUAUCGUAAUGUAUUUAUUAGUUUAUCUUUUAGGAUUUUUAAUGAUGGGGAGAGUAACCAGAAUCCAUAGUUUUAAAGGGUUUCUAUUCCAGUCAUAAUUACUCUAGAUUUGAAAUCUCUGCCCAUUAAAAUCUACCCAUUUGGUUGAGAAUUUAAAAGUCAUAUCCACCAUUGAUAUUUUCAUUAAGUACUAGGAAUUUUCUAAACAGUGAAAUAAGUACCAUUUUCUCUACCAUACACACAGUUUUUAUUGAUUGGCAUAGGCACGACGCAAGAUCAACUGAAAAGCAGCUGAUAAAAAACAGAGCCGAUUCUAUGGUCUUAGAAAUAUUCGUUUUUAUAUUUGAAAUCCACAAUGACUUCAAAAACAACCUCAAAAAUACAUUUAAAUACGCACUAAAAUAAAAUAAAAUCUCUCCCUCUUUCCCCUUUUUCACACACUAUCAUCAACCGCCGGCGGCGGUCACCAUGCUCUAAUUGAGAACGGGGGACCCUUUGUCCAUGUGAUGAAAAAAAGAGCAGUGAGAGUGAUUUAGCCGCGAAAUUAAGGCGGUUUGUUUUGUUUUUCAACGAUCAUUUUUUCUCUCAACGGUUUGUCCGUGACAUUUGUCCCCUCCAUUCCCGGACAAAAAAAAAGUUUGGAAAGAAAACCACUCCUCAGCCCGCAUCCCACACAGACAAGGAAAGCAAGAAGAAAAAUCAUCUCUUUCCCUCUUUCUUGAACUUUCACUUUCACUUUUCAGGCCCCACCAUUUGCAGCAGUGUCCACAGUCCACCCUAGUCGUCAAUUAAUACUCCCCAGAAAAAGCAAAACUUGGGACUUUUUUUCAGUUUUUCUUCUAGUGCAUGUUUAGGACCCCCUCUUCUCCCUCUUUCCCUCCUCAACUCUCGGCAUCAUUCACGGCCACAUUUUCACUAUCUCCUCCAUUCUUGGCUCUUUCUCAGGGUUUCCAUUCCUUAGUCCUUUCACAUUCAGGUAUGGGAACAGUUGAACUACUUAGCACUUACCAUUGAGUAAAAAUGCAAUCUUUUUUGAAAUUUUUUGUUGAAAUGUUAGCAUUCCAGUGAUACCCGAAUGGGCGAGUUUGAAGUCAAUUAGACUAUGUUAACAUUCCGAGUUUCUCUUGAUUUAUUGAACAUUUUUUGGCCUGAGUGUCUUGUAGUUUUGGUGGCACUUUUCUUGGAUUAAAAAUGGAGAUCAAUUCUUGGAUUUCAUAUUUUAUAGUCGUAGAAAAUGAUAUAAACUUUCUUGGGUUAAUGGGUAUCAGUGUCAAUAAUUUUCUUACAGCUAUCCAAGACAAAAAAGAAAAAACGAACAUGAAUGCCCAUAUUAAGAAUGGGUACUCUAACAAGUUCUUGUACCCGUUUGUUGGUAAAGAUAUGGCUCUGUUUUGCUCGUGAGUAAACGUAUGUAGUCUUGCGCAUAUGGGCCUUUAGAGAUUUUUAUUUGUCAUGUUUUAUUUACUUCAUAUAAUUGGUCUUAAUGCUAAUAGCAGUACUCUGGCAAAUGCAUAUAGCUGUUCUUCUUCUUCUUCUUCUUUUUAUUCUCUUCACAUUUGUAAUUGUUUAACUUGGAGUAAGGAGUUUGUUUCCCAAGUGAUUUUGAGAAAGAUCACUAAGUCUUGAUGAACAAGUAGGGAACGAGGAAAUUGGUGUGUUUGCCGUGCUUUAUCUGUUCUAACGUUUUAUUAUUAGGCCUCUGUUUGCUGGCUGUGAAAAAAAGAUGGAAGGAUCAGUUCAAUUUCUUUUCUUAACUAUUAGAAGAAUUUGAAAGGAAAAGGGAGUUAAUUUGUCUUCUUUUGUACUUAAUUGGUCAGAUAGAACUGUAAAAUCCAUAUAUAUGUAAUCUGAAUUUCAUUUUCUUUUAUAGGAUGCCUGAAGAUUGAAUCUGAUACUUUUUCCUGUGAUUUUGUUUGUAAGAACUUAAACCCGGGGAAGAAGAAGUCAAUCUUUCUUGUAGUGAGACAUGAUGGAAAAGAAGCAACUGAACCUUAAUGCACCACUCUUAUCUGUUAGGAAACCUACAUCGAAUUCGGGAUCUUUACUAUCUUCUAGGAAUUCGUCAGCAAAUUUAGGCUCUUCAGAUGGGAAAAGUAGGAAGUUGUUGCACAAAUCAGGGCCAAUUAGACAGCAUUCUCUUCCUGUACCAAAAUCAGACUGGGAACUAGGUGCAUUGACAAAACCAGCUGCAGUUCCAUUUGUGUGGGAGCAGACUCCUGGAAGGGCCAAAGGUGAAGGUGAUGAACAGACGGAGACUACUAAGCGCUCAGUGAGUGCUCCGAGGCUGCCUCCGGGAAGGCUACCAGAUUCUGUAAGGCGCUAUUCAGGUGAAAGAUGCAACGAUCAGAAUAUACACAGGCCUCAUCCUGAGGUGUAUCCUGUGAGUGACCAUGCAGCUCUAAUCGAUAGCUUGAGGGAAAGUAUAUAUGGAAAUGAGGAAUCCGAUUUGGAAAGCACAGAUGAUUAUUCUGAUGCACUGGAUGCCCUGUCUCCAACGGCAUCAUUUUCAUUCAACUGCAGUAUCAGUGGUUUGAGCGGUUUUGAAGUUCCAAAUGUGAAGCAAUCUGGAACUUUUUGUGUAGACCCACAGACUAAAGACUUGAUGAUGAGCCGGUUCUUACCUGCAGCAAAGGCUGCUGUUGUAGAGACACCUCAAUACAUUCCCAAGAAGCAACCUGCGGCAACUGAACCGCCAAAACAGCCUAGAAAGGUGGUCAGUGGAGAAAGAAAGCCUUUGCUUGAUCAUUAUGGUUCUAACAUCAUAUCAUUUUACAAUCAGUUUGCAGAAGAUGUUCAGAGUGAAGGUGAGGAUUCUCAUCGUGACAUUCCAAAGAAACGAUCAAGUAAAACUUGGGGAAUUUUUCCACGUUUAUGUGUCAAGAAAUCUUUGUGCCUCUUAAAUCCUAUACCAGCAAUGAAGCCAAGGACCCCUGUUCCUAAAUCUCCUCCUACUGAUGUUGGAAGGCUAACCAGAAAGGCCUAUAGUGGACCUCUUGAUAAGGUAACCAUGGUAUCUACCUUUUUACUCUUAGUGACUGGGAAGUGUUGUCAUUUGUUUCUUAUAGUUCAGUGUCUUUGCAGCAAGCUUCUGAUGCAAAUAAUAAGAGAAGAUUUCAUUCUGGAGUUCUAUCGCGAGAACUGCAUCAAGUUGAAAAUAAGCCAAGUGAUUCUAGACAGUUCUCGUACACUUCAUACAGGGCAGGAGGACUAUCGCCAUGCAGGCCUUCGAGAAGUGGGGGAAUAUCCCCUUACCGGAAUGCAUCACCUCAGUCUCCCUUUGGCAAAGGAGCAAGAUUUCUUGGUUUGCAUAAGGAAGUUGACAAUGUUACAGCUGAAAAGUACAGUUCCCUCUAUAGAAAGUGUAGCAAUCUUCUAGAUGCAGCGCCACCUCGUAUUUACAAACAAGAUACAGUCUCACCAACCGAAGUGGUUGAGAAGACAUUGUAUAUUGAUUCCGUCACUAGUGUUAACCUCAAAAAAGAUUUACCUUCUUCAAAAUCUGAGAGCCUUGGCAAUUCCCCUGGUGAGAAUUUGAAAAUUUCAGCAGAAAGGAAAAAGAUAGAAAAACUUUCACCUCCUUACAGUAAUGGAGAAGUAAAACUGUUGGAUGUCACCAAGAAAGGAAACAAGUUAGACCCUAAAUCAUCCUUGUUGGCCCAUGAAGUUCAACCUUCUCCCACUCGUAUCUCAAAUCUCAGAGGUCUAGUAGAUGGAAGAGAGAGUUUACAGUUAGUUAAAAGGUUCAAUGAAGACACGAAUUCCGUUGACGUGAAAGCUCAAUUGGAAGCCCAAACAGAUAUUGAUGCUGUCACUCCACAAUCUCCUUUGAACCCACCUUUGCCAAAAUCACCUUCUGAAUCUUGGCUGUGGCGUACACUGCCUUCAGUCAAUUUGCGUAUUCCAUUUUCACAUUCACACCUUGGGAAGAAUUAUCAAACUAAGAAUGUGGAUCAGAAGGCUUCUGUGGCUGGUACAAAAUGGGAGACUAUCGUGAAAACUUCUCAUCUACGUUACGAUCAUAAUCGCUAUUCUGAGGUAAUGCCACUCUCAUUCUGAACUUCAUGAUACUAUGUUUUAGUUUAUAUGUUACGAUGAAAUGUAAAUGAUUUUCUUUCCCUUGUAUUGGUCUUGGCAGGAAAAUUUUCCUCGUGUUUCUCACAAACAAAACAAAAUAUGAAGCAGAGUGGUCACUGCAAGGUUUUGAGCUUUAUCGUAAAUUUGAUCAGUGCUGUUUAGACAUUACUACCUACAGCUCCAUAAUUUCUUGAGCUCAGUUACCACUUAUUUCAAGUAAGGGUAUGUUCGCUUGUACGUGGAAUAUGCAGUGCUUAGCUACACCUGUUGAAGUUUAACUUUUUGUCUGAUUCCUGGAAAAAAUAUCGCACCUGAGUCUGAGGCUUUAUUUUCAUGCCUCCAUCUUUCCAUAGUUUUGCAAGGAUUUGAUUGUUCCGAUUCCCAAUCAUCCUACUACAUCGGCUCAGAGAGAGAGAGAGAGAGAGAGAUGUAUGGAAUCUGUGAACUCUAAACACAUGACAGUGUACUUAUUGUCUUGGAAAAGAUUAGUUUUGCUUUUCAGCUGAAUGUGGCAAGUAUUUUUUGGUGCAAUGUAUAUUGCAGUUUCAAAAUUUGGUCUUAUUGAAUAUCUGGACUUUCACCUCCACUAGUCUGGCUUGACUCGUGCUCUUUUAAGUGUUUACUUCCUUCUCAUAGUGCUUGUUUGAGUGGACAAAGCAACACGCCUUUUCUCUUUGUUUCUUAUUGAUUCUCUGUGAGCUGAUUAACUCUUUGGGAAGUAGCUGUGUGUUUUGUCAUUUUUCACAUUUUCGUCAAAGACUUCCUAUGGGUAAAAUUCAAGAGUCUGUAGUUAUGGUUUCCCCUCCAUCUUUCUUAAAGGUUUGUCAUGAGGAUCCUUGAUGUUUCAUACUUCAAUCUAACAUAUGCUUUCUGGACAAGAAUCAGAAAUUUGACCAAUGCUGCUGCUGCAUCAUCACGGAAAGUACUAGUACUAUGAUACUUUAUCAAAGAGCAAGAACCUUUCUCCAAAUAUGUGGUAUCUACCUUUAUGUGGUAACUAGUACCUGCUUUGGCUGAAUUCUGUGCCUAUGUUCAUCUGAGUCAAUAUCUAUGUUCAUAACCAUUAACAACUGCAAAUAGGCACCAUUUCAACAUCUGCUUGGAUGUUAUAUCUACAAUCACAUCUGUGAUCAAAGGUAUUAGUUGUCCAUUGAUGUCACUUUCCUCUGCUUUUUUCUCAUCUCCAAACUUCCCGCUUGGUUAUUACUCUGGAAAAUGCAAUAAUUUUGCCACAGAUGGGAAAGCAAGUCAAAAGAUAUUACUAUUCUGCUGCACAAAGUCCACAUGUUAUCACUGUCAACUAUUUCCGGAAGGGAAUAUAUCAAGAUUAUAGAAUAUGUUACUUUGAGAGUUACAGAUGUCGAUAAACCAUUAAUAGUAUUUUAAUAUAAGAUCAAUCUCUUAAUCUAACCCUAACCUUGUUCUUAAAUAUCAAAUAUACUCAAUCCCCUCAAAAAAGUGAUCACUCUUGCGAUUUCUUAAAAUCUCAGGCAUCUACGUUGUAUGUGAAAUUCUGAAAAUCACGAACAUGCAAUGCAACUAGAUUCCUGGCAUCUUAGCUUACACAGGUAGCAUGCUACAUCUAAAACCCUGACAACAGCAAUGACUAUCUUGGCAGAAGUUGAUGCUGCAGUAACUGAUGACCGAUUGAGAUUUAAGAGUUGCAUAUGUUAGUUUAGAAAUGAAUGCAUGGGGUGCCACCAAGUAGCUUUACCAGUUCAAAGACACAAUUAAACAGGUAGAUUCUCACAUUAAUAAGCCUUUUUUGUUCUACCAAAAAGAUUAAAAGCCAUUCUUGUUUUUCUUUUCUCUGGAUUAUUAAUGCAUCACAUUUUAAAUUUACUUUGUGGGUUAAGUUCAGUUCUGAAUUCUUGUGGGCUUGUUCAGAAUGAAUACCAGCUAUACUUUUUUCAACAGCCUGAAUCAGACUUUUGUUGUUUUAUAAACCUAAUCCCAGAAUUAACCUCAAAAGCCGGCGAAUACCAGCUAUACUCGAAGGCCAUAAAUGCAAUACUCAGCUCCAGUCAUUGUCUCAUUAUCCAAACACCAGGGGCUGGAAAGCCUGGAGUAGCAAUUCCAUGUGACAAAUCCUGAAUGAUGGUCCAGUGCCUUAAUUGUACUCCAGGCUCCAUUGUAUGAUUUGAGCAUGUGAAUGAACAUGGCAGGAGUUUAAGCAUAUCCAAGCCACUUGGUCACUCUACAGCAGACAGGUAGGACACCAGGACUCAGAUGCUCCCCUUAAUUCCAAGUCUUGAAGCCAUCUUUCCCUCGCCUCGGCAUAAGUGUGGCCUAUGCAACGUUAGUUUGUGGACCAUGUUUCCUUCAAGUGGAGUACUUGUUUUUUCUCUUCAACUGUUCUUAAGAGCAUCAUACGUAACAAUCCUAUCCAAAUAAAUUCAAAAUGGUGCUAAGGUACUUAAGUCUCUAAUUAACAAUUAACUCCCACGACUGUCCCCUAUGCAGACAUACACGCGCGCGCUCACACACACAUAUAUAUUGAAAUGAUUAUUUCAGUGCCACUGCUGAAAUGAUUGCAAGAUAUAAAAGGGAUACUUACAUCUAUUGGUCCAUAAUAUAUAAAGAAAAAGAAAAAGAAAAAGAUAGAGAGAGAGAUCAUAGAUAUAGGCAAAUACAGAAAAUUUGUGAACUAGUAUCCAUUUUUAUUAGAUAACUUCAUUAUAUUUAAAACCUUCAUUUAUAUCAUGAUGACUAAAGAGUCUAACUGAACAUGACUAAUAUUUUUCCCUUUUUUCUUUAUUUAAAAAAUCGAUUUAUGUUCUAGAAUAAGCCUUAAAAUUUCUACUCUGUUAAAAUCCACAGAGAAUUACUUAUUUUAUCGUUUAGAGGAGGAAAAUAAGAAUUAUCUUUUCCUGCACCUUUGGUACAACAUAUCCUUAAAGAAAUUUCUAUACGGAAAAUGGCACAAAGGAAAAAAAAAACAGAAAAAGGAGAGAAAACGAAAAGAGUUGAAACAAAGCCCUGAAAGUUGGGCCAUCAUCUGACAUUAUCAGCCCAUAAUAGACUAUACAUAUUCACUGCCGGCCCACAAUUUUUAAAACACCGCUGUGGGAAAUUUCAGGGAAGAGAGUUGUUUAUUGAGGCUUGGGACGCUCCAAUUAAAAAAGAAAAAAAAAAAAAAAAGUCCUCAAUAGGGCAAUUUCAAAAUCCCUAUUCAGAAAUGGACUUAGCUAUAUUACUCUCAUAAACUCCAUAGUCAUCCCACGAAUUUUGUCGUAGUUGACCAUCAGUUUUGGUUAAGCUGUAAAGUUUACUAAUUUUAAUCUUGUUUAGACUUCUCAAUUUUUGCACCCAAUUUCAAGUUUUUACAUAAUCAUAUUUUGUACAGAUUUAAUUUUCCAAGACAUUUAUACAGAAACAAAAUAAAUUUAGAUGAAAUGUUUAUUGCAGAAAGGAUCUACGUGAUCAAGACAAAACCCAAAUAACAAACUGCAGCGUGCAACAGGAAUAAAACUUGUUCCGUUCAAUCUUUUCGGGGCUCAGAUGUUUAAUGUUUUAGAAGCCCCAUUUGUGUCAAGGAAGGUUGAUCCGAUUGACCCAUUUGAGAAAAGGAAUUAGGUGGGAAUAUUUUUUGAAACUAACAGAAAAAUUACAAAAUAAAUACUUAAAAUUUUUUGAAUGAAAUUAAAGGUUGUGAUUGUAGAAUAAAAAAAAAGAUUGUGAUUUUAGAAGUCUUAGAUUCCGUUUGAUAAAACUAAAUAUGAAAUUUAAAAUCUGAAUACUAAAACAAUUAAUUUACUGAAUCUUAAGCACUGAAAAAAUAUAAUAAUAUCUGAAUCGAGCAUGCCAGUGGGUAUGUAGUAAAAUUCUAGAGAGAGAUAUGAUGAAUAAAAGUAAAUGUGGCAAUUUGUUCCAAAUCCUAAUGGGCUACCCAUGCCCAGAGGGACUUUGGGCGGAAUGGGUAUUGUAAUUUUGAUAUUGGAGUUGAAAUGAGAUAUAUCCCAAUUAUACUCAUUAAUUGAUGGUUAAUUUUGGGAAAUACAGAUACUUUGAUACCCAUUAGGUCCAAAUAUCUUACCAAAAAAUUUAAUUUAUCCAAAAAUUUAGGGAGAAGAUAUGUUCAUUCUUACCAAAAUGUUACGUCUUUUUAAGCAACUGUUGAUCAUUCUAGAGUAUAAAUCAAUGCUAUUCAGGCUCAGUGGACUAAUCUGAUUACCCAAUGCUGCUACGUGCUGAGUCAAAAAUCAAUUUUUAUGGUGGUUUAUUUUUUUCACCAUGCAGAUCUACAGAUGAACAGAAACUAUUCACACUAAUUUGAUUAUCAGCCACUGAUGUGUUCUAUUCAGCUCUGUUCAUUGUCAUCUGUUUGAUUAGCAUAGCCUAUUGGUUGCAUAUGUGGAGUCAUCAAAACAUUUUGUUGAAUUCUAAUAGUGAUUUGUUUUUUCAAAAAAAUACCAGGAUUUAAUGUGGAAGCCUGGAGUACAAGACCAUGAGGUUUACUAUCUGGGAAUUUGGUGGUCAAAACUAGGGGUGUAAUCGAGCCGAGUCGAGCUCGAGUAUUGCUAUACUCGAGCUCGACUCAACUCAUAUACACCAAAGCUCGAGCUCGACUCGAGCUCGAGCGAGCCCAAAAAAUCGAUACUCGAGACUCGACUCGAAAAAUUUCCUUUAGGCUCGAGGCUCGAAAAUUUUUUUCAUUUUAGGUCUUUUUACAAUUAUGUUAUUACUUUUUUGCCAUUAUAGGAUUUUAUUAUAAAGAAGGAUAUAUUGUAAAUUUCAUAUAACUUAUACCCAUAAUGGUCAUUUUAUAAUUAUAAUACAUAUAUAUUAUUUAAAUUAUAAAUAUAUUAUUUAAAUAACUCCGGCUCGUCGAGCUACUCGACUCGACUCGAGCUGGGCUAUUUCGACUCGAAACUCGACUCGAUUUUCAUUCGAGUUACUCGAAACUCGGCUCGAACUCGGGUUGACCGAGUUCGAGCCGAGUCGUUGACCGAGCUACUCGCGAGUAGCUCGGCUCGCGUACAUCCCUAGUCAAAACAUUGCAGGUGAUAUGGUUUUGCCGGAAAUUGCAUUAUAUUCCCUAUUUGAUGCAACAAUGAAUUCAAGAAAAUAUAAAUUCACAAUAAGAUCAAAAGAAAUUUAAUAAAUCAAAUAUAUUAAAGUUAUAUAAAAAAUAAAAAAAAAGAAUUAAAGGAAAAAAUAUAAAAAAAUAGAUUUGGGUAUUGGACAGGAUCAAUAUAAAUCUAUUCCAAAGUGAUCCCGUCCAACUUAAUCCCAAAAUACGUAUGAAUAAGUUUAUGCUCAAACCUAUUGACUCGGUUCCAUUUCAAAUCCAAGCAAACCCACCUAUUCUGUCCAUUUUGCCGCCUCUAAACAAAAGGGACUGCCUAUGACAAAAAGAGGUCUCCUAUUGCUAAGUCCUUUGUAGUAAGUAGUAACAACCACUUUCAUGUCUUCUUUUUGAAAGGAAACACGCCAUCAUUUAUUGUGGUGCAAAAGUUUCACGGAAAGUGUUAUUUUCUGGUCUCAAGAUAAAUCAAAUUUUUGCAAGCAAACGGGACAUGCAAAACCCAAUUUAAAUUGAGAACCAUCUCUUGAGAAAACAAAAUUACAAGUUUAGAAAGGUGGUGACCAAUAAUGUUCAUCACAACCAAUUUGAAUUUACUAAGCACAAUCAUUGGAUGUUGGAGAGAGUGACAGACAGAUUUGUCGUAGCUAAAUGUUUGUGGAAAGGAAGAAAGGAUCGUUGUUAGCUAGGAAAAUGCGGUUCACAACCCAUAGUAUAAAAAAAAAAAUUUACAUAAUGAAAUUUUUUGAAAGACAAUAUAUAUCUAUAUAUAUCUAACUUAUGCUUGAUUGAAACUUACCGUGUGAAGGUAGUAUCUAACAUCACCAUAUUCAUCCAACAGUCGGCUUGUAGCGUACUGCGAUACACACUUUUCUGCUAAACUACCAAAUCCUAUGAGGCUAUGAUUUAAGUGAAAAUUCAUAGAUAAUUGCAUAAGCUAAAACUUGAAUCUAGAAUGACUUCUCAAACUACGAAUUGAAACUAUAUAAUCAUGCUGAAGUUUUAAGAAGUUAUUUGCAUAGAAAUUAGUAAUCUAUAGAGUAUAUAUUCAUCGUCUUGAUAUUUAUCCAUCUUAGGCAAGUGAUGACAACCACUAUAUGGCUUUUAUUUUGAUUCAACAUACUAAACGGCCUUCCAGAGAGAGAGAGAGAGAGAGAGAGAGAGAGAGAGAGAGAGAGAGGAUGGAGCUCAAAAGAGAAGCCGUACAGAAGUUCUUCGUCUAAAGUUAUAAAGGCUAUCCGACACAAGUACCACUAGAAGAUCUCACACCCUAAGCUAAGUGUGCGAGUGAGACCUCAAGUACUCAGUCUCCUUCUAGCCAAGACCACUAGUUUUGAAAAACAUUUAGAUAGACUCAGUUUAAAGGUCUACUUGUAAAUCGUGUGGUAUAGUCAAGAAUCACAUGAUCAUGGCGAUGAUGUACGAGAAUGUGGAAAAAGUAUGGAGAGUCUCUUGAAUAUACCACAUGAAUCGCAAGUAAGGCCGUAAACCCAAUCUAUCUAGGUGUUUACCAAUAGUUUGUGUGAGUAUACUGUGUACAUCAUCUCCUUUGCUAGUGUCUGUGCAUUUUACAAGCUAGAUUGCACUGGGGGAUCAAGGUUUCAGAGAGAAAGAGAAAGCCUUGUGUUAACAUCCGAUUCACCCUUAUUUUGCGCCAUGUCCUUGUAGUUCCCAAGACUUCGGCUUAAACUGAGUUGUAAAUCAGGCAACCACUCUUUGCCAUCCAGGAUCUUAUGCUCAUUCAUCAUCUGAACAGAAGGAAGGGAAAAUUCAGUAAGAUUAAAGAAUGCAUAUUCAAAUAAUUGGACCAAUGGUGAAAGAAUGUUUACAGCAGAAAAUGGGGCAUUACCUGAUGCCUGUACGGGGACUCAAUUUUCACGAUGUUGGCAGGAUUAUUUCCGUUCGUUUCAACCCUUUCAGCUGUCAAGCUAUCCCUACGAUUCCAGUUAGCUCGCUGCAUGAAGUAGGUUGCCCCGGCUGAAUUUUCCGGUUGAUGAAAUUGAUUAUAGAGUGGUUGAAAAGGAGCAUUGGCCCAUUUGCUAGCUGUAGGGUCGACCCUUUUCUCUUUCAAGUGAUGUGAACUGAAUUCACGUGGUGGCCAUCUUUUUUCUUCAAGAAAACUGCUAGGUCUAAUGGGACCAUAUCUUGUGGCUCCAUGCAUGGCAUGAAAUAUGCUUGAAUUGCAAGACUUGCCUUGACUUUUCAUCAUACUAUCUUGAUAGUAAGACCACUGCUGGAAUCUGGAAACAGGAGAAUGAAGAAAGAGAAGUUAAUUAGUAACUUGGACCAAGUUUCAUUGCCUUUGAUCACCACUAAUUAGGUUUAUCAACUGAUUACCUCGAAGAGAGAGAUUUAGCCUCAUAAGGAGAUUGGAGUGAUGCAUUAUUAAGAAUAUUAACAAUGUUGUUUCCCCCGUUGGGGUUGGAGGCUACAACAAUUGCACCAUUCUGGUAUCUGAACUGGUCAACAGGGCUACACAUUUGGUCCAUUCGCCCUGAAAAGGGACCUUUUCCUUGCAUCCCUCUUUUAGCUAGACCUAUUACUGUCAAUACAAAACAAACUAGUCAUUCUAACUAUCAAGACUUUUAUGCAGCUAGUGGUUGAAAGCAUGAACAGUGAAGAAAGUUAGAGUUACCUUGUCCAGAUUCAUCGAGUUUCUUGCUACGAUACAUCUGAAAUCAAGGGGAAGUGAUCAGGGAAAUGAAGGAUGCAGAAGUAGCAAAAGACACUAGUAGAACUAAUUGUAGCAAAAAGGAGCACUUUCUAUACCUGCAAGUGACUUUUUACAUGAGCAAUGCUUAGUCCUCGAAGGUUCAUUAAUUGGAGCACCAGUUUUGGAGUUGCUCCUGGCCAAGAAAAGUUAAUUUAAUUCCAUGAGUGGCCAUUGCUAUAUGUUUAGGAAUCUUAACUAGGACAAAACUUCAUGACAAAUAACGGACUUGGAAAAAGCAAAACAGUAGCGAAGUUCUUUUUCUUACUUUCUUGACCACCUAAUCUUUCAAUUGCAUGCACAAAAGAGAGAUGGAGAUCAGGUGUCCAUCUGAGCCUCGGCAGUUUAGAUCGAUUAUAUUGACGAACCUUUUUCUCAUUUCGUUCGACAGAUGUACAAUAAUUUUCUGAGUUUCCUUCGCUUGAUUUCUCGCAAUCCACAAGACUCAAGUCAGGAACCUCACUACUGGUUUCCUCAUCUACAUUGCUGCUUGCUUCUUCAUUCAAAUCAAUGGAUGAGAUAUUCAGUGAAGAGUCUGGUGAUGUCUGUGCUGUAUCAUCCUCAUUUCUAUCGCUCUUUAAUUUUGCAUUGACACCAGAAUCUUCAACCAUCGCUUCACAAUUGAACUCUUCAGCUAAAGUAGUUGCACUUUUAGUUGACAUUUAUGGCUACACAUGUUCAAGAAGUGAAAAGUAAUUAAUUAUCCAGAUCAAAAAUUGGAAGAAGCAAUUGGGCAAUUAAUAAAUUAAAAUAUUAAUGGAUACACAUUGGGUAAGCGUUAAACAUCUAAAUUAUAUUUAACCUAGCAUGUUAAUACACAUCAUCCAUCAUAAUUAAUGGACUCCCCACAUAUGGAAAUUUUUUUCAAAUUAACUAUACUUUUCUAAAAAAAAUAAUGGAUUAAUCUUCUAUACACUGACAGUGUAUACACUUUCAUCAUUAGAUGUAUGUCACAUAAUCUAAAUUUGAAUUUGAAACUCACAUUUUGUAUGUAUCAUACAUUCAACUAUGAUAAUAUAUAUAAUGUCAGCAUAUAUAGGAUUAACUCAAAACUAAUACACGAAACGUCUUGUAACGAGUGCCCAAUGAGCACUCAUUACUCGUAAAUUUAGUUUUUCUUCUACAUAAAGGAAGAUACACCAAGGUGAGGUUAUUAGCUGAAUUUUGUGUUUUUUUGGAUGUACAUCCUUUCAUUGUAUGGUCAUCAGUCUUUUCCCUAUUCAAUACUAAUAACUUUCAACGCAGAGCACCCAACAAGAUAAUAACGGCAUUGUUGCCGGUGUUACCUAGAGAAAUUAAGUGCCAUCAAUGCAAUAAGUUAGUUUUGGGGGAAAAUGAAGUGUUGAUCAUGUAAGAAAAUAUUAAGUCUCUCUGAGUAUGUUCCAAUGUGAGGUAUGCAUGGAUCAUUAGGGUUUUAUAUUGCAGGAAUGCAAGCGUUUUCAUUCGUUUUCAGUAGAUAAUUCAGAAAUAUUCAACAAUAUGUUAACGACAAUAUGAUAUAACAUGACUAAAAUUGAGGAACUUGAAGCAGUAAUAGAAGUAAGAUUUUCAACUACUCUAUUUACACUUUUACAAAAUCUGUCUGUGACGUCAUCGAACAACUAUCCAAAAUAAUCUUUGUGAUUACACCGAUACCUAAUGAUCUUUUAAUCUCAUAGUAAGAUUAAGAAGGAUGAAUAUCUAUAUAGGUGUUAAUGGUCCGAUUACUAGUUAGUAGUGUAGGAGGGCUAUCAUUCGAAUUUCUAAUCAUCCUAUCUCCUCCCAUGGGAACAAGAAGAUGGUCAAGAAAAAACAAAACAAUUUUUUGUCAAGUAGCAAGCAACUAAAAUAUCCUUCAUUCAUGGGCUCAUCUACCUACUACCUUCCCGAGAAUUCACAGGCAAAGAAUAGAUUAUUGCCCUAUGGUGCAAGUUCAUUCGUAAACUUUAAUAACAAGAAAAAAAACAUUGAAAUUUCAACAGAACAGAAAGUAGAAUACGGAUGACCACGUAAGCUUCAAUUACUAUAUAAGCAAAGGGUAUUAACCUAGAAAUAGUACUUUUACCUGAUUAGAUGAGUGCAAAAGAAGGCAUGAAACCUUAAAAAUAAGAAGGAACUUCUUUAUUCUUGAGAGAAACUCAAACAAGAAGAGAAAAAUGGAGAAGAGAAGGGAGAUAGCCUUUCAGUUUUGGGUCAGUAUAAUGUGAUGUAGAAGAAAAGUUCAGAAGGUUAUAAAUGAGUACAUACGUUGAUAUGGAACCUCUUUCAUGAAGCAAUCAAUUUCCAACACCUACUGUGAUAUAUUUCCUCAAGUUUCCUAGUCAUGAUUAAUUUUCAAUCACGCAAAAGCUCAUACUUGUCUAACAGCUUGACCGUGUAAGAAUAUUACCAAUCUCUCAUCUUUUAUUUGCCUUUCAUGUUUUUUUUUCUGAUGUAUGAAUUCUAAAUCAUGAUCAAGUGAACUAGUUACAAAUAUUUGACCUGUAAUCCUAAGAUUAAAAGUCAUACAAGAAAGGAAGAAACACAGAAAGGAACAAGCAAGCAGGAGGAAAUGAAACCCUUUACUUGCAAGGUGAAACCCUCUAGAGGUGGGCUUUUAGACCGCAAAACUGAGAUAUAGAAGUAGGAAAUAUCUUCAAAUUUUAUGUGUUCAUUUUCCUUGUAAUUUGUCGGAUGUCUGGAUCAUUCCCCCCCCCCCCCCAACACACAAAAAAAUAAUAAAAUAAAUAAAAGACCAACCUAAUCAGAAGGUAACUAUUAUGGCUCAAACGAAAAGUAAUUAGCAGAAACCCGUGAUUCAUGCAACCCCUAAAUCAAUCAAAAUUUCUCUAGAAGAAGGAAAACAGUUUAAAGAAGGCAAGUAUAACCAACAGAAUUCAUCAAUCCGUAGAUACAAACCAUUCAGCGAAUUAAUUUCUUGAUUCCUGAGCUUCCAACACCAGCACUUGCUUGAGAUGAUUAUCAACUACUCCACAGCUUCCAAAACUUUUCUCAGAUGAUUAAUAGAAUUGAUGUCGAUGACGAGUUAUAUACUCUGUCAAUUGGGCUCACUCGAACUUCCAAAAUUCUGAGCUUAAGCAAGAUAUAAGUUCUAUUGUCAAAGUGAAGAAAAGAUGUAGGAAAGAGAAGAGGGAGGGAUAUAGUUGGCCGAUGGGAGGGCAAGCAAGGAGAACUAAAACUUGUAUUAUUUUCUGGUCGUUUGUGAUCGAAGUUUCAACUCAAAGAAAAGGGGAUCAAGUUUUCAGUUGUUUCAAAGAGUUAAAUAGGUAAUCCAAAGAUUGAAAUUCAACGUUGGACGGACAGUCCACUUGUGCUCAUAAUAAAGCAAUAAUUCUUCCAUUAUGAAAUAUGGAUACAGACGAGACUGGUCCCUUUGGCUGGUUGAGAGCUCUGUUUUCAAACUCGGACCGGACCGGCCGGUCGAACCGGUUGAACCGGGAACCGGCCAGGUAGCCGGUCCGAGUCACAUUAGAAAACCGGAAAUUUAAAACCCGGUCAAAGCCGGUCAAAAACCGGGUUUGACCGGGUUUGACCGGGAAAAAACCGGUUUUUCCGGUUCAACAGUAUUUUUUUAAAAAAAAAAUUCAAACUUUUUAAUAUUAUGUUUUGACCCCCUAAAUUGUUAAAACUUAUUGAUAUACUCAAAUAUUUGAUACUUUAUAAAUAUUGUCCUAAAAUUUGAUGUUAUUUUUCAAUUAAAUUCAUAAUUUUAAUUCUAAACUUGUUAAUAUUUAUUAAAUAAUAUAAAUUGCUACUUGAUUGUUCUAAUUUCUUUGUAUUUUCUUGUUAAAUAUAUUUGAAACAUCAAAUAUAUAUGAAUAUGCCUUUAUUAAUAUCAAUAUAUUAUUAGAUAUUAUAUAUAUAACAUUUUAAUUUUAAAAUAAUUUUUAUUUAUGACGUCAUCCGGUUCGACCCCUAUCGACCCCCGGUCGAACCCAUUGACCCCUGACCCCUGACCUCGGCCGAGUCGCUAUCCGGUCCGGUUCUGAAAACAUAGGUUGAGAGAGUAUCAUGUGACUUUCUAAAGGGGUUAUAUUUUUUCUUGUGUUAGUCCUCUCUUUGACAGUUGUUCAAGGUAGGAAUUAGGAAUUAGGAUCUCUCUAUCUCUCUCUCUUGGCGGUGGCCUCUGAUUAAAUUAGUUUGUUUGACCUUUGUUGCAGACUCCUUCAAUUAAUUUAUGUGUAUGGUGUUUGUUGAAAUUUGAAAAAAUGUUGUAUAUUUAAAUGUUGCUUAUAAUUAAAUUGUGAUUCUAAUGUAGGGACAGAAAUGGUUGCAUUUUUCUUCUUUGACAGAUCAAAAAUGGUGUUGGAGAUCAAUCCACAUAACUACAGAAGAAUUUGCAGUCUUAUCAUGUAAAAUGAUUCAAUUAAUACACUUUUUCAUCAAAAGUUUUGUUUGACAAUCGUGUUGCAUGCACAAUCAUAUGAAAAAAAUAAAUGUAUAAUUAGAUUGGGUCAUCAAAUGAAAUGACUUAAUUGAUUAAAAAGCUUUUCACUCGCAUAUUUAAAUAUUUUUGGCACUCAUGUUUCAUGACUAAUCCAAGUAAACUUCAAAGCUAUGCUAAAUUUUCAGGACAAAGUUGAUAUAAUUUUGAAAUUAUCUCUUCCAGUCCCAUCAACUGGAUGUGAAUCUAAAGCAUAUCUCAUCAUGGUUUUUCUCUCUUUUUCAUUUUUAUAUUUUUUCAUGGACAUGAUGAAAAUGAACUUAAUUAAGGGUGAGAGGGAAUCUGAAAUCUAAAUUAUUAAGUACUAAAAUUUUAACAUUUGAGAGUAUUAUAUUGAUAAGUGAAUAACUUAUCACUUAUUGUUUUGAAUAAGUUUUGCCCUAAACACUUUAGAAUUACUAAAUUAAUUAAGAUAUUUUAUUUUUUUGUUAUCAAAUACGUUUAAAUAUAUUAAGGUAUGAACCUAUUAAAUUUAAGUUCUAAAUUGGAUUAUCAAAUAUGGCCAUACUCUCAAACUGGCUGAGGGUUCUGGUUUAAGGAAACCUUAAACUCUAUCCCAAGUUAAUGGGGACGAUAAUGAGAUACUAAACUGUGAUUCUAAGGGGUGAAUACCAUACUAGUGCAUUCGAUAGUCACUUGAGCCUCAUCACUUAUCUCACAGCAGUUUUCAAUCCUAAUUCUGGAAACCACCGCUUUAAUUGAGCCUCAUUAGAUACUAUGGAAUUUCAGUAUCUAAAGGUAACAUCCUUUUCCGUUUGGGUCAAAAAAACAAAAAAGAAUACUACUAGUUUAAUAUGGGACUGAAUGUUAACAAGUUUGCUCAAACUAGUUGAUUAGAUUCAAAGAAUUGAAUUCUGAGUAUGUAGUUCUCGAAAUUUUUGGGGUAACAAAUGGAAGCUAAAAGUCCAAAACUAAGUCAAUUUUGGUAGGACUUCCAUAUUCAAACUGGUAGAAUUGACCCAUUUGUCAUAAGCAACUAUUCAACAGUAAAUGAAGCAUGUUACCCUUCUACCUGCACUUUUGACAAACAUCCGCACUGCCAUAGAAGAAGCAAGCGUAAUUUGGACGUAUGAUCCAAUAAAAAAAAUCAUAUAUAGAAUUUUCCUCGUCAUAGGAGUAAUGGAAGAUUGAAAUCCCUUUCCUUCCCUGCUUUCAGGAAAAACGAGAAAUUGAAAUUUCAGUCUUAGGACUUUAGCUCCAAUGAAUGUAAAGAAAAUAAUAAUGACUCCGGCAGUGAAAAGUCUUAAGCUUAAUAUACCAGUCUCGAAGCCAUGAAGAGUCUUCUUUUGGUGCCAUAUUGACUUGGCUUGGACGGUGAUUCAGCUAUUAUAAACAGGCUAGAUUUACGAAAUAAAUUGACAACUUGAUUUCAACAUAUAUAUAUAUAUAUAUAUAUAUAUAUAUAUAAUGGGAACUAUAAUUGCAUUUCACCAAACAAUUCUCAUGAAUUUGCCAUUUUCUUCUAAUUUUGAUACUUUAAAGUGGAAAAUUUGAUUACAUCGUAUGCUGAAAGUAAUUAUUGUUACCUCUAACCCUAUCUUUAAACUUAGAAGUGUCCCUUCUCAAACAUGUUUCAUUUGUUCAAUGUGCACGGUCUGCAUUCUUUGUGUAAAUAAACCAGAUUUUCUUUUUGGAAAGAUAAAUACAGCCCAGCUGAUAAUGAUAUGAUUAUAAACAAAAAAAAAAAAAAAAGAAGAUGAAGAUAGAUGGGUUGACGGAGAAAAAAUGCAGUACCAAAUUUCUUCCCUACAGGGUCACCGAAUUGCUUGAAUUAUAGAGCCAAAUUUCCGUGCAAAUAGGGAAAUCCUGAUAUGAGUUACCGAAGUUUUAAUGCAUUGUUAGUCAAGGAAUUCUUUCCAUAGGGCAUUUCAAUGAUUGACUCUAUUUAACAUAUUUCAUACAUCCCUUGAGCCUUUACCGUGUUAAUGGUCUUCUCUAAACCAAAUUGUAACCAGAAUUAAUCUUUCAAAGGUCCGAUUUGUUUCUUCUAACAAAAGUAGCUAGGUCAAACACCAAUAAGCAAAAAUGUCAUAAUGUGUAUGUUGUCCACUUUCAAGCAUGUGUACGCAUGGAAAUUGUCUACAAAAUUAUAUCUAGAGAAAUUCCAAGUUUUUGUCAUAGGAACUGUUCUAGAAUUGGACUAGGCGUCAUGGGGGUUUUAAAAAAUUAAGCAUUAAAGGUACCUACAUGCCUUAGAAAAUUCUUGAUUUCUUGUCUUCUCGUGCGCAUGGGGAUUGGAGAGAGUUGACCUCAAGUAUUUUAAGACAAUGGAAUCUUUCAAAGAAUCGUUUCAUCAUUUUUCCCAUUAGUUAUUUUUCAUGGAAACAGACGUCCAACCUAAAAAUAAAAAGCAUGUAUAUAAUGAUACGUCAUAGUCCAUAAAAAAGGACCAAAAUUUGCAUGGGAGCAUAAAGUAAAUGAGAGCACCAGAAUGAUUGCUUUCAAAUGCAUUGAUAUCAUGAGGAAUAUAUUAUUCAUAAGGGGAAUUUUUGGUUUAUUCUCACUACUUUUCAGCAUUCUAUCUUCAGCCUGCAUGGCUGCAUCCAAUAGUCCACCUUGAUUUGGAAUUUUGAACAUUUUGUAUAGGGGUCAAAUUGCAGUCUUUAAUUAAUCUUGGGCUGUUUUCUUAAAUGCAAAAUUCUAAAAAGGUGACCAUGCACUUUGUCAAAACCUUUCAGAGAGGACACUGCUUUCCCUAGAUUAAUUCUUCUUGAGGGCCCCUCUCUUUCUUUGCAUUUUAAUUUGACCAAAACUCAUGGGGCAGCCAGCUCUUACCGGCCUAAAUCAAUAGGUCAUGCUGAUCACAAAUCCAGAUCCAUGAAAUUCCUAACUUUAUUGUGCAUAUAAUUUUUGAACUUUGUCCCAUUCAACACAACUUGUGCCAUAUGUAUGAGCUGGAUCAUAGUUUCUAAUCAAACAAUUACGUCAAGGUUGCUUAAUUUCAAUAGACAGAUGAACCCAAAUCCAGUUAAACUCUGUUUUUGCUUCUAGUUUUUGUUUCUUGCAAUCCUUUAUUUCUGCAUUGGCCGCAACAACUUUAUAUAUAGGUCAAUCCUUUCUCCUAUGCAUGUCAAUGUACGUAUGUCCAAUUUCACUAGAUAAAAUUUGUCAUGCAAGAGAAUGAAAGAUACAGAAAAAGAAAAAAAAAAUGGAGACCUUAGAACAUUGCAAUUUGUCAUGCGAGCCGCAAAUGCAUCAAGUUGAGCUCUUUGUUGCGUCAUAGAGUUUAAUAAAUUAAAUCUUGGGGAAAGUAACUUAACCCCUUAUAUAUGAAUAUCACCACUAACAAUUCUUCAAAAGAAAAAAAAAAAAAGAUCACCACUAACAACUGUUUCAAGAGAACAACGUUCAUAGCCGCAAAAUGUCAAAGAUGUUGGGGAUUUUUCUGCCGACAGGGGGGGAAAAAGGAUGCUGGGAUUAAGUAAUUAAUGUGCUCAUGACUUUCGAAUGUUUGCUUGCCAUAAAAUCAAUUAUGCAUCUCAUCUAUAUUACUAUUAACAAAUGCCCUUUUGUCCUGGGAUUGGACUUUUUCUUGAACCAUCAAAUUCGAGAUUUUGAUUUAAUCAACAAGGUAAACGAUACCAAUGGCCAUUGAACUUGUGGCCGUCUUUCUAUCUAGCCUUCCAACUUUUAAAAGUGCCGAUCAGGACUCUUGACUUAUGAAUUUGGUUCUAAAUAUUCUUUCCAGUCCAGACCGUAUCCAAGUAUAAUAAUUUUCACUUUGCCUCUAAGAUUUGAUUGAAUGUCAAUUCUCCUUUUCUAAGUUACGUAAAAAGUAAGGCAUAACUAGUUCGUAAUACUUGCUUUUGUUGAGUAUUAAUGGUUGACAAAUUUGAGAUAAAAGAAAAUGACAACGCUAUCUUUCUAACAAUUGACAUCCAUAAAUUUGUCAAAUUUGGGCGGAUCGAUUUCAUGGCUUCCACUAUCCUCUUCUAGCUUCCUCCUAGUAUAAAAUAAAUUGUAAAAAAAAAAAAAAAAUUUAUGGUAGUCCUUUUUUCUAAUUGAUGUUAGUCUCUUGUACUAAAACCUUCUUUUUUCUUUUUUUUUUUUGGAUUUAACUCUCCUAUCUCUCCCCAAACCCUUCUUCCUCCCAAGAGUUUUGAGCAAGAUUCUAAUCCUGAAUCUUAAAACAAAAAGGAUUUUAAGACCCUCUUUUGACUACUGAGCCGAUCCUAGUGGUUGUACUAAAACUUCUUUGACAAUGCGUUGAAAGCUAAUGUAAAACAAUUUAUAAAAAUAUACAUCCAUCACAAAACCUAUUUGGUAAAUUCAAGGAUACUAGUGGUGAUGUUUAGUUCUUUCCAAGUAAGUCAAUCUAAAUAUGGGGCUCAAAGAAACCACAAACGAAAUAGUAAUUUAAAGACAUAAUACUCUUGUAGUAUGGGCAAAUUGGUAUGCGAAACUGUAUCCAUGUUGUAGUUGUAGAUUAGAGUUUCAAAAUGGGAAGAUGCGAUUUCAUUCAUGACUACUAUUUAAAGUGAUUAAUAUACUCCACUUGACCACUGAAUUUAUUUCUUAUUUGAAUAAAAGAUUAUCAUCUAAGCUCGAUCGAUUGCGUAGAUGACUUUCAAUCCAAGUCUUUGUAAAGUCAAUGAUCUAGGAGAAAUUAGUUCCAAAUCCAAGGGGAAAAAUCUCAAGUUUUAUUUUUUUAAAAGCAAUAAAAUUUGCUGUCAAAACAAUUUAUACUGAUCAAGAGCCCUCUUGACUAGAAUAAAAGGUCUGUGUCUUCACGCAGCGUAAAUUUGUGGGUUGUGCUUAUAAGUAGUAAAUAUUUGAUAUCAUCAUGGAACAGAAACUUUUUUUUCAAAAAAAAAAGGAUUUUUUGUUACAUCAUAAACACAUUUUUUAAUUAUUUUUGUUAUUUUUCUAAACAUUUUUAUAUCUUACAUAGAUCAAAUUCCUAAAAGUAUUAAACUAUUAUUCCGAUAAUAACUUUCCAAAUACUUUCCAAACCAAACACACCGUAGUUUUUGUUCAUUUUGGUGUUGCUUUUUGUUAUACAUUUGAAAGAAGCAUGGUGCAAUAUUAAUCUUUCCAAGCAUUUUUUUAAUUCCCAUUGCCUUCUGCCUCUGCAAUCUACAUAUAGAAUAGCCACAUAAAUUUAAAAAUUAAUCUUCAAUACUUAACGGUGUAUACACUAUCAUGUUUGAAUGGGUGCUACAUAUGUAAAAUUUGAAUUUUAAAAUUAAAAUUUUCAUAUAUUGCAUUCAUUCAAACUAUGAUAGUAUGUACACUGUCAUUUUAUACAAGAUUUACUCUAAAUUUAAGUGUUGAAAACUUCAAAUAAGCUUAUCCAUAAUAAUUAUUAGUCAUUGGUCUGUUGUUCCAUCUUGCAGCACUCUGGAACCUUUUACAAAAAAUGCACUAACCAUACGUUGAAUGGCUCUUACAGGAUUAAACGUUAUCUUUUUUUCUCUUUCGGAUAUUGGUUCUUCAUCAUUUCAUUCUUUGUAGCCUGUCAGUAAAUGCAAAAUUUCUUGGGUUGAAAAGACUAAACAGUAUAAAUUUGAUCUUUUUUUUUUUCUGUAUAACUGACUAAUGGAGAUGUUAUUUUUGCGAAACCCUUUCUAAUUGGAACAAAUUUGAUAAAAUUAGAAAAUAGAAGCACGGAAUAUGAAUAUUGGGUGCUGAAAGUUAUAACUUGCCUUUCAAGUCAUACUUGUUUGUGGAGGAAAUUGUACACUUUCAAAGUGAUGCGAAUUUGUUUUUUGCAAAUACAAAAUGCAGCAUUUUGGUCCUAAGAAGAUAUCAGGUCACUUUUUGGCCUUAAAAAGUAACGUGUCUACCAUGGGAUGAUAGUUUCAAUGGCAAUUAGGUUUUCUUUUCCUUUUUGUUUUCCCUAUUCAAACUAUGUAAGAUAUUCCUUUUUGGUUUCGCCGCCGCUCAUGACUUGUGUUGUAGUCAGCUUGGAAUGCUUGUAUCAAGGCUUGCAAGACUAAUUCUUUGUUUUCCAUCCAAUCGAGCUUCCUUUGAUGCAGAGGUGUCAAUCAUAAUCUAAUUGUAUUAACUCACUCAAACUCAUUAACUAAUAAGUGGAAUUAGAUAUGUAAUGAAUUUUGAAUGAGUCUAAAUGGAUAUGCAAUUAAAUUCAUUUAAUUGAUGGGUAGUGCGUUGAUUCGACUCACUCUUUUUAUAUUCAUUUAAAAAUAAUUAUACAUCUAAACUCAAUUUUUAGUGGGUAUUAAACUGACAAAUUUGAAUUUCCUACCAAUCUAAUAAUAAUAAUAAUAAAGUAUCAAUAUUUCUUGUCAAACAGCAUGCAAAAAAUUAAAAAAAUAAGUAAAUUUCAAAUGACUUAUAAAUAAGUAAUUGAGCAUGCUUAUACCCAUUUAUUAAAUACCUAUAAAUAAGUCGACUCAUUUGACCAAUUUAAUUUAAAUGGAUAUAAAUAGAUUAAUUCAAUUAUACCCAUUAUCUAAUUAUAAUCCACUCAAAUCCGUUUGAAUCAAUCGUUUUGACACUUUUACUUCAAUGGCAGACCAGUAGCUUUGUCUAUUUACAGCCGAAACAAACGGUCCAUUUGUUGAUGGGCGAAUGAUGGGGAUUGGCUCAUUUAUCAGAAAAGCCUGUAUACUUUUUUUUGUCGCAGCGAUAGAAUUUUUAUAAUCUAAUAUAGUUUAAUCUAGGGGAGGGGGAGGGGACUCGAUGUAAGUACAGACUUCAUAGAAUGAAACCAAUUGAGCCGACACAUAUUGUGGCAAAUUUUGGUCGCACCACCAAGUUGGCCGUGACCACCAGGCCAAGGGCCUAGUGGCUACUUCUUCACCUACUACUCUAGAUUGGGGGUCGAGUUAGAAUUAAUUAACUGUUUAUCUAUUUCUGUCCAUGUGUCGAGAUUCUGUGAAGGUGAGCUAACCCGAAAAGCCGUACUUACUUUGAAUUACAGGCUGCAACUCUUCUCUAUUUGUUUGCCAUCUAGUUGGUAUUUAUUAUGUUUACACUUCUUUUUAUUUUCCCUGUACUUUCAAUCAUCAUUUUCCCCUUCUCAUAAUAUAUUCUUGCAUUUUUCUGAAAUGUUUUUUGUAUGACAUUUUAAAUUGGAUUAAUCUUUUAUGUACUGACAGUGUAUAUACCAUCACUAGUAAAUGCAUGACAACUCAUCUGAAUUUAAAUUUAAAAUUCAAAUUUUACCCAUGUGUCAUGCAUCCAACAGUGAUAAUGUAUAUAUUGUCAAUAUAUAUAUAAUUUACUCUUUUAGAUUUCCCAUUUUAGAAGUUAUCUUGGUUUUUUUUCCUCUUGCCUUUUUUUUUUCCUGAAACGUUUGUUAACCCUUUUUAUGAUUACUAAUUCAAGAAAGAGGAGGCGUAUAUGGUUCGUAAUUUACAAGUGAUGUCAUUUUUUCCCCUGAAAUUAUGUGUCGUGGCAGGCACAUGAAUUUUAAAGGUUUAAAAAUUGGCUUUAGAAUGCUAUUAGGACUAAAGUAUUUUGUUAAUGUGUUUUGCAUAUGGGAAGGAUGAAUUCGCAUCACUUUAAAAUGAUGGACGAAAAAGGUAAUAUCACAAUAUGUGAGAGAUGGUGUAAUCAUCUAGAUUUGCUCACUCCUUGGAAAAACUUCAUUCAAUAUUUUAUUAUCGUCUAUAAACAAAUGUUUUCUACUGGAUUUUCCCUUUUAAUUUUUAAAAAAGAAAAAGAAAACAUUUUUUUAUGUCAUCUUAUUAUAUCCAUAAUAUGCAUCGUCACCAUGCCCCUUAAUAAGCCUCAAUGUCUAGUUUGUUUGUUAUUUUUUUCUAUUCAUUAUCCACUAGAAAUCAUUUGACUCUUCUCUAAAUCCAAAAUACGUAUAUUCACACAUCAAGAAAACUCAAAUCUCUAUAUAGAAAUAGAUUGGUUACAACAGAAUCAUUCAAGCUUACUUGCCCUCACAGAAUUAAAUUAUAGAUGUCUGGCCUUAUUUGCGGAUCAAGUAGCACUACUGUAAUUUCUAAUUGUACCAUGGCGUCAAGCAUCAUAAUAAUUAGUUCUUAACAUCUUCAGCACUUGACAAGAAGAUGACCAAAUUUGAGUGUAUAGAAAAAAAAAAGGAAAAUUUUGAGAACUUAAGAACGGAAUAUCACUUACUACUAUAUAAUUUCAAGGGCUUGAUAAUGAAGCUUUUUGGAUUAGCUUAUUUCCUUGGCCAUUUUAGGAGAGCAACAUCUAUACAUCUAUCUAUACAACUUUUAAUUUUAUCCUUAUAGAAACGAGCUAGUUUUUACCUGAAUUACCUGAUCACAUUUUAUUAACCACCUUAAGUAAUGUAACUAUCAAAUUACUAUAGCCUAGCUAUAAAUCAAAGUUCUUUAAUUAAUUUAUAUUAAUUGUACUUAUGUGAAAAACAAAAUUGAUAUUCAAUAAUGUGAUACAACCUCCAUAUUCAAAGGCGAGAUUGCAGUAAAAGAGCUUUAAAUAGGGCGCCACUAAAUGGACUUUCAUUCUUUUUAUCUGCUCCUGGUCCCCAAAAGCAAAAACUUGAAGCCUACUGAUAAAGGUCAUUAAUGAAAACAUUCUUCAAGCCAAAGACCUUUCAAGCCCGCUAGCUCGAUUAAGUAGAGAUGAGAUAUCUCUACUGUAUAAAGCCUUUACUGAAGCGUCACCUAAUAGUUUGCCCGUAUUUCAACAGGCAACAUAAUACCACUUUAAAAAAAAAACUACCCAAGAAAGAUUAGCAAUUACAUAUGCAUCGAGUGUGUCAAAACACCUAAUUCCUGAAUUGUUGAAUUAAGUACACCUUUUGUGCCAGGGGAAAUAGUGCAGGGUUACGAUGCCAGUAACGCCGGACGGGAUUUUGACUGGACUAUGCCUCACACUUUGCCAAGAAAGAGUGGGCUGGGCUGGGCAUCACACGAUCUCAUUUUGACUGGACUAUGCCUCAUUUAAACUUGUAGCCAUGGCUUGCUUGCUUUGGUUCAAAUUUGAAGAUACCAAUUUAUUUGCUUGCAAAAGGAUCUUGAUUGGAUAAUACAUUAUUUACAAAAAAUAUUAUUUGAUUACAUCACAAUCACAUAUUUUAAUCAUAUUUUAUAGUAUAUAUAUAUAUAUCAAAUCACAAAAAGUAUUAUAGCGCUAUUGAAAAAAAAAAUCCUCCCAAUUUCAUAAUCCAACAAGUUAGUCUGUUUUGUUAGUAUUAUAGUAUAUUUUUUAUGCAGUUCGGGGGUAAUUAUAGUAACCUAGCACCUCUAGUUUAAUUUCUUCAAAAUAUUUAAUUCUAAACUUGAUUUCUUAUAGUAACUUUUGGAUUGAGAUAUACUUUCAAAAUUCCAAAUGGUAUACUCAAAAAUACUUGAUUAAAUAGUUCUGAAAGAAAAAUGAGAAGUAAGGAAAUAUGUCAUUUGUUGAGAUCAUUUGAAUUCCCUUUUAUAAGCAACUUGAAAUAAUUAAUUUAGAAGAGAUUACACCAUACUCAUAUUUUACGUACACAAUUUUCAACUAAAUUUUGUCUUUUCAACUAACUUUUUAUCUCAUAAAUACUAUUAUAUAACAAAAAGUGUUACAGUGAUUAUUCAAAUAAUCUCCUAUCCAAACACAUCCUCAUCGGACCUCUUGCAUGAAAAGUCAAUUCUCUGCUAAAUUAAGCUUAAAACUGAUAAUCUCAUAAAUACGUAGGAAAAAGUCUUCCUUCUUCUUUUAAGCACAGAUCAUUAGUACAGAUUUUGUUCUAGAAGAAGUCCAUGCAGCAAUUAGAUUGUAAGUUUAUACAAUUGGUUUAUUUUGUUGUCAUACGAUUUCAGUUGAUCAGGGUGAAAAGGUGUAAUUUUACAAGUCUUUAGCAUCAACCUCAAGCACAAUUAGAACAAAAAAAAAAAAAAAAAAAA
rnacentral:lncRNA from 1 species